UCUAUUAGUUUGGAAGGGAGGAAAAUCAGUAUGCAAAUAACUGCAAUAGAGCAGACGAGGAUGGACACGUGGAAUAGUGAUAGUGGUUGAGAUCCAGGGCGGUUUUUGUAUAAAUUCCCCGAUCUGUAAUUUAGAAAUGGGUUUGCAAAAAUGGGAUCCCAGGCCAAAAUGAGCAUCAGAAUCCCUUCCACCGCCAAAAGCGCCGGCGAAGGGGACGGCGUGUUGGGGCACUCUCACUCAUGUUCAUCAAAAGGCCAAUGCCUCUGUUCCCCCACCACUCAUCCCGGUUCCUUCCGGUGUCGGCUUCACCGUUCCAAUUCCUUGCCAUGGAGUAGGCAGUCCAAAUCCACCGCUGCAUCGGCCGACGCCUCUAACACCUCAGAUCUCUCUCCAAAGUCAGUUGAAUCUGCUUGAUUUUUCAGUUACCAUCUAUCGGCCGAAACAACAAAUAAAGAAAUCCUCUGUAAAUAUUUAUGUACUCCUCUCGCUCUCUCUCUCUGUUCUCACUCCACUCUUAAAAUUUAUUACAAAUCAAAGUCGGUUUAUGUGUGUCUGUUUUGUUAUGCUUUCAUUUUAGUUUUUACUCAAUUUUCUAUAAUUGAGAUUUCAGAUUUCCUUUGUUAAUGUUAAUGCUUCUUCUCUCUGUUUCUGCCGUUUCUCUACUUUUUUAACUCUUUUUUUUUUUAACUUUUAAUUUAUAUAUACUUUUAUGAGAUGAGAAAUGGAACUUCAUGGAAAUAAAUUAUUUAUUCAUUAUUCAUUUGCUAAUUAUUUAAGAACUAACCGCACAUGAUUAUCACAUCAAGUAGCACUCAAAUUAGAUUUCUAAAAAUAAAAAUAUCUGAAGAGUUAUUGCAAAUAUAUAACCAAAUCAAACUAUUUUAAUAAAAGUGAAAUUAACUCAAAAAAAGAAAAAAAGAAAAAAAAAGGAGAAUGAAACAUUUCUUUUUAAACAGUCAAAUAUUGAAACUAUUUAUAAAAUUCAUUCCACCUCACUGAUUUGAUUAGAAAAAUAUUGAAACUAUUUAUAAAAUUCAUUCCACCUCACUGAUUUGGUUAGAAUUUUUUUGUCAUCAAGAUAAAAAUAAAAAUAUCCUAAAUGAUGAAAAUAUUUUAAAAAUUUAAUAACUUUUUUAGAUAAAAUAAAAAUUGACAAUCGAAAAUCGAAAUCUGAAGAAAUUAAAGUUGAAAAGUUAUUUUAAAUGAUAAUUUUUAAAAAAUAUUAUAAAAUAAUGAUAAAAUUUUUAAAAAUAUUUAUAAAUAUAAUAAAAUAACGAUAAAACUUAUGAAAACAUUUAUGAAUAUAAUAAAAUUUGUAUAGAUGAAGAUUAGUAUAUGUACGUAUAUCCAUAUAUUGAGAAUGAUAUAUGAUAAUAGAUUGGAGGUAGAUUGUGAUAUAUAUAUAUUCUUAUUUGAAGUUUUGUAAAUAAAAGAGUUGAUUGUGAAAAUGAAAAAGGAGAUGUAAGAAGGGGUUUAAUGAUAAGCAUUUUGUUGAGAAGUGGCGUGUAGGAGCGUGGGUGAUGGUGACAGAGGAAUGGCAUCUUGUGAUUGGACUGUCACCUACAUCUCUCUAUUUUCCUUUAAUUAACUCAUUUUUAAUUGUUAGUUUCAUAAUUCUUUAGGCGAAACCCACCCCGGGUGUAUAUUAUUAGGAGGCGAAUCAUAUAAUGGAUGUUAUUGUUUUUAUUCUUUUCUUUAAGUUGUGGCCCAUCGGGGCAAUACCCUCUAAACCUUAUUUUCUACCAUUUUCAACAUAAUAUUAAUACUUUACAUAAAUUUAAUCAAAUGUUUUUCAUCUAUUUAUUUAUUUAUUUAUUCAUUCAUUUAUUAUUAUUACUAUUUUUAUUAAGUUAAAGAGGACGAGAGAAAUGGGCCACAACAUAGUGUAUGGAUGGAUCCAUCAUCCAUAGGCUAUAUCUUGUCUUCCACUAAGUCUACAAGAUUUGAUCGUGAAAUUGAAAAUGACAAAGUGAACAAUGAAGAAAAUCUCCAACAUAAUCUGUUCAAACUUGAAUUCAUCUCACCUAUAAGAAAAAACACCAAAAGAAUAUUUAUAUUCUAUCCUUCUUCCUAAGGUCUAAACACGUUAUAAAAUAAUUUGAAUCCACCCGCCACCUAUUCUAUUAUUCUCCUCAUUGCACAAGAUAUAUAAUGCCAAAAACACUCCAAAUAAUCACACCAAACCCUUGUUCAAUAGUAUCGUAUAUGGUAGAUGGAUUUCGUCAUCUAAUUCUAAGUCAAAUAAAUUAUCAAAUCACACAUCAAAUCCUAGUUUUAGUGAUAAAUCUGGAUCGAACUUAAAAAGCAUUCUGAUUCUUCAAACAAAAUAAUUUUCUACCCUAGAAAAUGGAACGUGAGACAGAUUUGAGUUGAAUUUAGUGAGAAGAAAAUUAAAUUACAAAGAAAGAGGUGAAAUUCUAUGUCAAAAGAUUCUAGCUUGACUUUGAUGAAUUUUCCCUAGUCUAUCAUUUGAACAUACUUUAUCAUCACAAAAUUUCAAAAUUGAUUACAACUAAUUAAUUCAAUUCAAUUGAAAAUGCCAAUUGAAUUGUUCUAACCACCCAAUCAAUAAUAACCGAAUUGAUGACACAUGCAAUAUUUAUACUAAUUGCAUUAAGCACAAGGGCACGUUUCCAUGCAUCCUAGCUAAUCACUCGAUGUUUUAAUCCUAUGUUAAUUAGAACAGUGCAUACACAACUUUGUUUGCAAGCCAAUCUAACCUAUUGCUUCAUUCGAUAAUCAUGCAAUCAGAAAGAAUUACAUAAGAAAUAAGCAAACAGCAUAUCAUCCCAUUGCAUCCGUAACAUGAAUUAGUCAUCAUAGUUAGAAUUGAUAAGCCACACUGCAAGAAAAUUCGUAUCAAACAUCAUAAAUGCAUAGAAUAAAGGGAAAUCCUAAGCAACCCAAGCUAAAUAACGGUACCUUCAUGGACAGAUCUAUUAAGGGGUUAGGGGGGACAAUUCCCCCUCACAUUCCCAAUUUUUUAUAUUUUAAUAUUAAUUUUGAAGUGUUAAAUUACAAUAUAUAUUAAAUAUUGUAUUAUUUUUAUUAUAUUUUGCUUUUGGUAUAGUGGUUGUGCCCCUUUAAAAUACCGAUGACUUGGUUUCAAAUCUCAUCGAUAAAGCAUCUACAAAAUCGUUGUGGUGUUAUAGCAUUAAGGUACAUGCUAUGUAGAUAACAUUGGAGCACCCCCAACAUCAGACCUUCUCAAAUAAGGCAUUUUCUGCCUUCUAGUGCCUUGCAUAGCUUCUUUUGCCGAAAUAUUUGCCCCAACUUGCCUUGGUUGAUGUUAUUCUUCUAUGUAUUUACUUAAAUUAGUUUCAAAUCCACACCAAUACCAAAUUCUACUUUCAAAUAUAAUCGUUCAACACCUAUAACACAAUCAAAUAAAAUCGUAAAAUUAGAUCACUAAAUGAGUUUGAGUUGAGUGAAAAUGGAUAAUGUAUUUAAGAUGCUAUCAAUAUGAUUAUUAAAGUUUUAAUUUCGAAUGAGCCUUUGUGGAUCAACAAUUAUAUUUUAAAGUUUUGUUCCCGUCAUUUAAUUUUAAAUUUUAAAAUUUUGAAUUUUAAGAUCUGCAUUUUAGAAAUGUCUUAAAAAAAUUAAGCCAAAAUGUGAAUGCUAAAAAAAAUAUAAAUUUUGAAAUUUAAAAUUUGGCUAAAAUUUCAACAUUUUGCUUAAAAACAAUGCAAAAUAUAUAGUAAACAAUUAAGAAGGAUAUUUAGACUUAGUUUUUAAAAACCAAAACUGAUAACAAAAUAGUUACAAAGUUGGAUCAAAAUUGUACCAAUGGUAUUCAAUUAUAUAUCAAUUCUUAAUAAGUUUAGGGUUUGGUAGAACAAAGAUAGUGUGACGUUAAGGGAUGAAUGAUCUUGAGUUGAAUUUUGAGCUUUUGUAACUCCAUUUUCUAAUUAAACAUGAUAUUCAAUCAAACAUAGUGUAGUAAGUGUUAUUUAUUAGUAUUAUUGUUGCAAGGCAAACCCUAAAGUCUAUGUGUGUCCAAGCCCAAAGGAUAAUAGAAAAUGGCAUGGGAGCACACAUCCCAAAAGGGAAAUAUUAAUAUCUCAAAGUUCGGGUUGACUAGUUGAGCUAGUAAAUUUAUACCAAUUGAGAAACAAAUGAGUUGAGGCUGGACUAAGACCUUGUAACUUCAAGUACCUAAAACGUUGCCUAACACUUAUAUCGUCACACGUGAUUGUAGUAGUGUGUUAGAGAAGAUAUUUUUAAAUAGACUCAUUGGAUGACCAUCUCAUAGCAGUAAGUAAGUAAUCUCCAAAUGAGAGACUCGAUCAACCUUACUACUAUUUUUGUGUUUGGUUAAAUUAAUCACUUAUAGUACUAACUUAAGCAUCUAAGACCAAUAGGCUCAAUACCACAAAUGCGAGAAUCUCUAACACAAGUUAGUGUCAGGAUUUAUGCCUUAAAGCCUUGUAGUUAAUUAGUUAUUUGAUAUAAUAUUUAAUUAUUUUAAAUAUGCAAUAGUUGAUUAUUCAUUUCAGAAAAAAUUCAAGGUUAUCUCAUCAACACCUUGAAACAGUUUAUAGUGGACCGUGUUUUAAGUAAUAACCUAAAAGGUUUAUAGCAUAUGGAUUAAGAUGGGGUGUCUUAUCUUGGUAAAACUAUAGAUACGAUAUCCAAUUUGUAAUGUCAGAAAUGUUGUAAAUAUUGCAAGUGUUGAGAUAUAUGCCUUAAAGUCUUGUAGUUAAUAAGUUAUUUUAAAUUAUUGAUUAAUUGUUUUAUAAGCAAUCAUCCAUUAAAAAAUUUUCGAGGUUGUUUUAUGUAAAUUAAACAGGUAUGUGGUUAACAUACAAGGAUGUAUGAUGUUUAAGAAAUAACAAAAAAGGUAUGUAGUAAAGGGAUAAGAUUGAGUGUCUUAUUCUGAUGACACUAGUUAGGGCGCUUAACUUUUCCUUGCAUCACUAGCCAAAAUGCAUACUUCAUCGAUAAUGCCUAAUAAUUAUAAUUUAGUUCUUAUAGCUUCCUUCUUCUCAACCCUUUCAUUUCAUAAUGCGGGUUUUACAUUUUCCUCCUUCUUUAAGAAUUUCAUCCUCGAAAUUUUUCCUUCUCCUUUCCUUUUCUUGAACUUGACUCUCCUUGUCACACCCUGUCCCGCAUACCUUUUUGCUUUUCUUGCGAGACGUGGUGCAAUUUAAGCAUCACAACACAAUUAAAUACCAAAGAUACCCAUCUUAAAUCUUUUACCUUGUUUAAACACCAAAUACUUUAAAUAAUAUGCUUUAGGAAGAUUAACACACUCAACAUAACAAAAACCUAAACUUCAUUAACAACAAACAUUUCAUACAUAGUAUACAAUACAACUUAAACUAAAACUUAAAAUGCCUGACAGCUUCUCGCCUGGUAGGCUCUUUCCCUCCCCUCCUCUUACUCGACCUUAACGCCAAAUCCUGGAAGAUAAAAUUUUAAAAUGUAAAUCUAAAAGACUUAGUGGAUUUUAUGAAAAAAAUUUCAAAGUAUCCUUUGAUAAAUCAUUUUCUCCAAAUCAUAAAUUUCAACACAAAUUAGUUUAUCAAUCAACACAUCAUUUCACAAAACAUAUCAAAACGCAUGUAAUCAUUUUUACAAUAGAAUCAGAUCAACUCGCAAAUCACAGCAAUAUACAUUUUGCAUAAACGUGCAUUAUUCACAAUCAUUCUUUUUGCCAAGCAUUCCGAAUCAUUCUCUACACUUGGUUUCAUUACCUUGCGUUUAGACUACUAUAUUAAAAUCAUCCAAGAACAUACAGAUUCAUCCUUGUUGCUUAGGCCGCCUAACAGAAUGCAGUUCUUUUCUACAUUGACCAACUUCACUCCACCAUGCAGGCCUUUUCUACAUGGCUGCCUUUAACCUUAUGUGCACAUAACAGUUAGCUCAUUCAAAGGAAGCAACUAAUGGUUUAAACAACAUUUUAUAAUCAUUUAAAUCGCAAUAAUCUAAAUCAUACUUUAAACAUUAUAAAACAUGUUUGAAACAUAUAAGCUUUUCAUAUAAAUCUUUUCAUAUUUGAAAUCCUCAUUCAAUCAUCAUAGCUUAAUAGAAAAAUGUUACUUUUAAGAAAAUAUCACUCACAAUACUACUUCUUCUUCUACUUCCCACGUAGCCUUCUCGCAGAAACAAAAUAGCAGUAGUUCAACACUUCAAAAUUUCAAAAAGCCUCCCUUACUUAGUGACCAAAAUCCUUUAUUAUACUACUCUUUAAUCUGGAUUAGUCAUCAUCAAAUCCUUGUCAACUUGCUAGCUCCUACUUAAAACCUCACACGUGUAAUUAAUAUUUAUCUUAGUCAUGCUUAAAUCAUUAAUCUUACACGUUAACCCCUGUCAAAUCAUAUUUGACAUUUUCUCGCCAAGCCUUUCUUCUCAACUAAUUCCAUUCCGCGAAUAGCUUUAACCACUUAACAUAACUUUCGAAGGUCUUAACGCGUAAAUCUUCUCGUGAACUACUCAACUUUCUCACAAAGACUCUUUCUCAUGUAAACACCUAGACUUCAUAGGUCUUAUUACAAAUCAAUCUUUUCUCAAAGCUUCCUCACGAACUAUCAUCUUAAUCGCGUAGACUGACCAAAACGUGUUUGUCUAAAUCGUCAAAAUUGAACACUUGAGCAAAUUUUACUUCUUAUACUCAAAUUAGAAGCGGGUCUCACACUCCUAGCAUUGCUUAUUGCAUUGAGUGAGACAUUGCUCCUUGUUGCUAAACACCUUGCUUUGGUUUUCCUUGACAUUCCUUCAAAUAAUGCCCUUCUUCUAUGCAUUUAAAGCAAAUAAUUGUACUUCUUCGACAUUUACUCGUAUGCCUUCGACUGCACUAUGCACACUGAGGUUUAUGAGUACUACACUAGAAUGAUUAUGUGCAACGUAUUUUCAUCCUUUUGUUUCCUUUACUUCCUUGUUUCUUACUUUUUUUCUCAUUUUGUUCUUCAACUCCUUCACUAUCUUCUGUCGUCUGGUUUGAAUCGAUACUUGUUCUUUCUUUCUUACUACUUUCUAAAUUGUUCUAUACUUGUGACGCGACCUCUACCAACUCUGAAAAUUAACACCAUAUGAUACUAGCCAUUAUUGAUGUCCUUAUUUUCUGCUUGAAACCUCUCUGAAAAUGCCUACAUCUCUCCUUCUUCUCCGAGUUCCACCACUUUCAGUGGAUACUUUGCCAACUUUGUAAACUUCUUUUCAGACUCCAUCACUAUCAUCUUUGCUCUGUACCAAAUGCAAAAGUUCACUACAAGAAAAGAGGUAUCUUUUGACGCACAAAAUCGAUGGGAGAUAAACAAAAAAGUAUCAAAAAAGGAUCUCUCGACGCAUAAACGCACGUCGGGAUUAGAGUCAGACAAAAUGUGUCGAGAGUGGAUCUUUCGACGUACAAGAUUACAACGUCGGAAGAUGUGUGUAAGAUCUCCCAACGCUUAAUCUUGGCAUCGGGAGAUUCUCUCUAUAUAUUUUUUAGAAAUACCUUCCAUUAUUAAAUGGAAGGUAUUAUGUAUCUAUGAAAAGCCUUUCCCAAAAAAAAAAAAAAAAAGUAUUUUGGAAUUAGUAUUACUUUCAAAUUCAUUCAAAGUUAAAGAUUGCAAAAAUUGAACUAGCCUUACCAUUUUUACCUUGUAAGCUUAAGCAUAAUAGAACAAAUCAAAGAUGAACGUUUAAACUAACAGAACCAAAAUGCAGAUUCAUCAUAAAAUCAUAAAAUAAAGAACAAAGUCUACAAAGCUAAAUGAAAAAGAAACAAAUAAAUAAAUCUAUCCAGGUUAGCCGUCACACUGUUUUCUAUGAUUGGUGACCACUACGACAUCCCUGACGUCAAACCCCAAACCCUAAUGGUAUCAUGUCAUGUAUCAUCUUUCCCUUCUUCUCAGAUUUGUGAAGAAAGACAAAUCAAACAAAGAAAAACAAUGGUAAAAAGGGAGAAGGAGAAGGAAAAAGAGAAGAAAAUAAGAAAAGAAAAGAGAAGGAAUUAAGGAGAAAGGAGAAGGAAGAAGAGAAGAAAAGAAGAAAAAAAAAAAGAGAAGGGAAAUAUACGUCAUAAUGAGAAAAAAAAAGAAGAAAAGAAAGAAGGGGGAGUGAAUUGACAGUCUUGAAAUUUUAAAGAACUUCUCCCGACGUCGUUAUGCAUGGUGUCGAGAGAAGUUUAUAAUAAAAAAUUAUAAACUUCUUCUGAUGUUGUUAUGCAUGGCAUCAAGAGAAGUUAAAUAUAUUAAAAGAAUUAUAGACUUCUUUUGACGCCAUUAUGCAUGGCGUUGAGAAAAAAUUAUAAUUUUUUAUUAAAUUACCUUAUACUAACGUCAUCUUAUGUCGCCUUGGGAUUACCAACAUUUUUCGACAGAGCUUCUACGACAUUAGAAGAAGCUUUUUUUCUGAUGUCACUUAUUCCGGCGUCUGUGUUGCACGUCGAAAAAUACAUAUUUUCUUGUAUAGAUCAUUAUGUUUCUCCUCACGAUAAGUUUUCAUGUAAAACUUCUCAUUAAACACCUUCCUUGAAACACUCACAGUUUAACUCUCAUGUUUUUGCUCUUCGAAUGUCCACUAGUCUUCUGCUGCAUCUUGAAGUAAAAACACAACCAAGUCCACCUUCCUAUCCUUGGGACAUCGCAUCACCCUAAAACAUUUUUCUAUCUUCUUAAGCCACUUCUCUACUUCCUCUAGACAGACUAUUCCAACAGACUCUUAUGCUCCCAAAGCUUUUAAUCUUUCUAUUCCAAAUUUCUUCUCUGGAUCUACUACCAAACUCUCUAUCAUAUAACUCUUCUUCUACUACCCUCUUAUUGCCUGGAUAGACCAAAUGAGCAGCUGGAUCCAUGGUAGGCUCAAUGGUUGCAUUUGAUGUACUUCCAGAUUGUCCUCAUCUUCUUUCUUGCGGCAUAACUCUUUUCUCUCAUACAAUAAACAACUUAUGAUCAAAUAAAAUUCUUGAUAAAAAAAAAUAAUAAUUCAACACCUCUAGUUUUAUACAAACCUUUCAUUCUUAAGCCCGCAAGAUUCUAGACAUCAUGCUCUGAUACCAAACUGUCUCACCCUUACUUAAAACGCCUUCCUCUUGCAUUCCAGAUGUGGUCACAACUUGAACAACCCCACACUGCUAAGUGAAAUGCUAAAAUGUCCGAGCUUAGACUUAAACUCAACUUCCUAAAAACAUGCACAAUGUUAAGAAAUAGUGCACUUGAAACAUACAAUAACUUAACGGCUCUAGUUUAAGUUUAUGUAAAAGUGUUGUUUGUAUAUGCAUUAGGUUGUUUAAAAAUAAUUAAGUCGGUAACUUAUUAUUAAGUUUGAAGUACACUAUUUCUUAACAUUGUGCAUAUUCUUAAGAAGUUGAGUUUAAGUUACGUUUAAGCUCGGACGUUCUGGCAUUUUACUUAGAAGCUUUAGGACUGUCCAAGUCGGGACCACACCUAGAACACAAGAGGGAAGGUGUUCUUGGUGAGUGCGUGACAUUUUCAUUUAAUUAAUUCGGUUUAAGAUUGUAUCAAGUUUUACUAAUGCUUAUGGAAUAUGGUGGACAACAUGGUAAGUUUGAAAAUACUACAAUCAUUUUCUAUUUAACAAAUGGUAAAAUUUAGUAUGAUUUGUUAUUUUUGGGUAAUAUUACCUCCGUUGUUAUUUUGUAUGCUGUCAUACUUGACCAUGCGUAUACGGUUCGUUCUGACGUGUAAAUCAUUGAUAGGCUAAAGCUCCUACCUUAACCGAGGGUACAACAGAGUGUUUGGGUACAAGCAUAACAAAAGUCAGUCCCCAUUUUAAUUCUAAUUCUAAUUCUCCCUAAGCUUUGGCAAACAAACAUGACCUCCAGCUCCGGGGACGAUUCGGUCCCGGUGCCCUACACUCUCAUUCCCUCAAAUGCUGCGCAACAAAACGUCGUCGUUUUAUCCCUCUACCGUCCCCCUCCAUGCCGACACCGCCGCCUUCUCCGCCUCUGUGCCUUCUACUCUGCCGCCUUCCUCCUCCUCUUCGCCGUUGCUUUUCUUCUUUUUCCCUCCGAUCCCUCCCUCCAACUUGUCCGUUUGAAACUCAAUCGCGUCAAAGUCCAUUUGGUGCCUGUUGUUUCUCUUGACCUUUCUUUUUCUGUUUCUCUUAGGGUUCGCAAUAAGAACUUCUUCUCUCUUAAUUACAAUUUCCUUGGCGUUUCCGUUGGCUACCGGGGAAGACGACUUGGAUAUGUGAGCUCUGAAGGCGGUCGAGUUUCUGCUCGAGGUUCUUCUUAUGUGAAUGCCACUCUCGAUUUGAAUGGGUUGGAGGUUGUUCAUGAUGUCUUGUACUUGCUUGCGGAUCUGGGGAAGGGUAUUAUUCCCUUCGAUACGGAGACCGAUGUGGAAGGAUCCAUGGGGCUCUUCUUUAUCAAAAUCCCGAUUAAGGUAAUGUUGAUUUUGUUUCUGUUUUUGACUAUAUAUAUCAAAUCUUUAGUUGGAAUUGUGAAUUGCUUCUAUGUUGAUUCGUUUUGUUUCUUUGAUUAGCUUGCAAUCAUUGAAUGGGUGAACAGUAGUAGGAGCCCAUUUCUUUGCAAACAGCACGAUGCAAUUAAUGCUUAUUCUCUAUUACACGUUGCUUAGAGUAAAAGUUUGGAUAAUUGAAAAAGGACACCCAACUUUGUGGUUGACUCUUUGGAUGUCUAGUAGCGAACCCAUUUCAUGGUCCUGCAAGUUGCAGCAGUCCUAAAUCAUGGCCAAAAGUAUCGGCCAUUUGAUAACCUUUUGGUUUUUGACCUUUUGUUUGGAUAAGAAAUAAUUUCAUCGGUGAACGAAAUAUUUAAAGAGUAGAAGAGGGACAAACUAAUAGAGAUAUCACGCAUAAUCAAUACAAAGGCAGAAUCCUAUCUGAAAGAUACAAACAUAGAUGUAGAAAGAAGGGAUAGUAGAGAUAUCACGCAUAAUCAAUACAAAGGCAGAAUGCUAUCUGAAAGAUACAAACAUAGAUGUAGAAAGAAGGGAUAGAUAAAGAUAUAAGUCAAUUUUGUGUCUUUUUACACCGUUUCUUUAAAGAUAUAAGACACUUUUGUUUCUCUUCACACAAUUUCUUUAACAUGGGUUUUUUCAAUGUAACAAUCCAAAAGAGACUUUGGUUUUUUAUCAUCAUUGAGUGAACUUUGGUUUUUGAUCCAUGAUCCGUUGAGUGGACUUUGGUUUUUGAUCCAUGAUCCAUUGAGUGGAGUUAAUAAGGGGAAGUAGAAAAAGAAAGGAAGAUGGAGUUGUUCCAUAAAUGACACCUUUAAUAAUGUUUGCUAUAGAAGAUUGGAGUUGUUCGAUGUUUGCUAUUGAAGUUGAAAUGUUUACGACAAACGGUAUCUAAUGUUAAACAGUGUCUAAUGGUCUAACAGGAGAAAGGAAACAAACGGUGUCUGUGUCUAAUGGUCUAACAGGAGAAAAGAAAAGGAGAAAAGAAAAGGAGAAAAGAAAAGAAGUAGUGUUUAUAAACUUAAUUUAAAAAAUUUAAAUCAUAUACCUUUGCCUUUGUGCCCUUUACUGGACCAUUUUUGUGCUACCGAAGAAGACUAACCUUCUGGAUUCUAAACUUGAACCUUGCCGUUGGUUUGAUUAUUGCCUGCCUAUUCCUACAGUCCAUAUGAUUAUAAGAAUGUCAUCUUCUGCUAUUGGCGUUCUUGUAUAGAUUUGAAAUGUUUUUUUUGUGGGAUGUGCCAUCCGAGUUAAAAAAAACAUCGGACUCUACCCUUCACUGCCCUCUUUCCCGAACUUGACUAUUUAGCUAAAUAGUUAUAAACAUUCACGAGGCUUUGUAAUAAUUAUAAUGUUGUGUUAGUGGAAUGUGAUUUGAAUUAAAAAAAGUACGUCUUCCUCAUCCUCACCCCACCCACCUGUCAUUCUGUGGGCUCUUUCGCCAACUUUACUAUUCAGAAUUAAUAUUUACAAUGCGGUGUUCUGUUGUUUUAAUGGUGUUUCUUAAUUCUCGUCAGGCAAGAGUGUCAUGUGAGGUACUUGUGAAUACAAAUAACCAGACAAUUGAACAUCAAGAUUGCUACCCUGAGGUGAAAAUUCAUCAUGCUGCUCACUUUUGUAUUGAUAUUUCAUAUUUCUGCCUAAAUUUCAACCUCACAGCCCCUGGGAUCCUUUUUCUUGUAUAUGCAGUGAAGGGAAGAAGGAAAUUGGGUUUUCAUUGUUACUUUUGUGACACGAUGUUGAAGCUGGAAAGUGGGAACUCCUCUGAUGUUGCUGAAUUUGGCUGUAAAUAUCAAUUGCAGAGCGUUUGGGGCUCAUUGUCAUAUGUAGGAUUUGAUAGAAAAAGGAAAUGGUAAAUACCUCUGUGGAUUACUACUAGAAAAACUUUGUUUUUCUCAGUUGGACACGAGUUAAAGUUCAUUUAUGUGUAAUAGUACACGUGUGGCAAUUGCUGCCAUUGCAGCGAUGAGGGUAAAAUCUGUUUUACUUUUACUCAUGCUUUCGUGUCCAUUCACUUGGAGAGUUUCUGUAUCCAUGCUGGGAAGGAAUUGUUGAAUUUAAUAUUACUGUGUUCUAUCCUAUUGAAUAUUGUUCAGUGAAUCCAAUGUGAAUGGCCAGCAGUGUUACUAAAGAAACAAGAUAGUAUAUUUAUAAAGAAGAAAGAAGGAACCUGAGUUGAAAAUACUGCUAAAUAGACCCUUAAAUCUGAUGGUUUUCCUACCGGUCGUACAAAGGUUUCAUGGAAUUCAAAUGGCUGUCCUCAUUGUCCUCGUGGACAUUCCUAAUGCUCUCUAUCAUGAGAUCAAGUACGUAAUUGUAUGGUUGGUUCAAAAUAUUAGGUGGAUAUUAGAAAGUAGGGUUAUAUAAUUUUUGAUUGAUUUGUUGGUUCCUACUCUCUCGGAAAAACCUCACACUAAUUUUAGAUCAACUCUUCUCUUGUCGUCAUUCUCGUCUUUUCUCUCUCUUCUCCAUUAACAUUUUAUCCAUAAAAUUUUUAACAUUGAAAGAAAAUUCAAAUUCAAAUUCAUAAUUGAAUUUUUAACAUUUUUUUAGAACAUCCAUAGGGUAACGAACGGAUCUUCCUUGGUUUUAUAUUUUUAUUUUUUUAACACACAAAUGUUCACAUACAUACACAGUAAUAACGUAAACUCGAAAAUGGGCAUUCCACCUAUAUAACUAAAAUUCAACCUCUCAAAAUAUCCAAGUGGAAAUUGGACUUCUAUAGAAAAAGAAAAUUAGUUCCAAAAACCUUAACCAAGUUAAAAAGCCACAAUUAAUAUUCAUUCAUUUGCAAUUCCAUACGAUCUCAAUUAUGAAUAUAUGUGUCUAUAUAUCUAUAUAUAUGUAUAUAUAUAAUACACACAAACUCAUUCAUAUUAUUUUUUACAGACACCACAAACAGUAAUUACUUAUCGUUCGUCAAUAUUUUACCCUCCGCCGGUCCAUUUUUAACCGUCCUCCGCCGUGCAACCCAAACAUACUCAUUUCUGUGUAGCCUGCAACGAAACGACCCUGGGUGCCUUGUCGGCGAGCACAAGCACCGCCUUUUCCCCGACUCAUCACCGCAACUCUCAAUCGCCGGUGUCGCGUCCUCCGCGGGUGUGGUCUGAAAGAGAACCCAAUUGCAUUGCAAGGACGAAAAGUCCCUGCGAGACAGGAAAUGGUGUGGGUAACACAUUAUUUUUUGUUAUUGUUGCUCUGCGGCUUUCUAAAAUUGUAAUGCGUGUUUUAUGUUUUGAGUAUUUGAUACUGCAAUGAGUUAUCUUGUGUGGAUUGAAAAGAAAAGAAUAUGUGGAGUUGGAGUUUUAUAAGUGAGGCAUGAAGCAAAGGUGUUGAUUGACAAUGCCAAAGAGGAUUUUGGAUGGAUUCCCAUCAUAAAAACUCCUUUCCUUUUCCUUUCUCUUUUCUUUAAUUGUCCUUGUUCUGUGUGCCAAAUAUUCUAUCAAAAAUUAAAGGUUUUGUUCUCCGCCUUCAUAAAUCUGUCUUGAAUAUCAGUCAAUCUUCCUCUUUAUCAAGAAACUUCAUCUUAUAUAUUUAAUACUUUCAUGUAUUUUGUAUGACAUAAUUGAAAUGAUGAAUCACUUUGUACGUCAGGUGGAACACAUUAAGUACCAAUGAUUGACGUAAAUUUUUGUUUACCCAGGUCUACUUUUGAUGUAUUAUUUAUAUCAAAUUACUUAACUAUAUUUUUUGUUUAAAAAGAACAACAAUAUCUUGGUUAUUUAUCAAAUAAAUAACUAAGCUAAGAAACAAAUUGAUUAUUUCUCAAACUAAUAUAGAGCAUAAUGUCUUUUUAAUUUCUUUGUCAAGGGAAGGGUACGUGAGAAAAGAAUCUAAUUCUCUUCUUCCCCUAUCAGAAUAAAAGUUUAAUCACUUCACCUUUUUUGUUUUCCUUUUGUUCUUCUUUACGGCGUAUAUAAGGAAUCGUUAUAUUUUAUACUUUAUGUUUUAAUUAGAGAACAAAGAGAGAUUAGAGUAAUAUUGAAUAGCUAAGCAAAACAGUUAGAUAUCCAACGUCAAGUUAUUUUGAUCAGCAAAUGAGGAAAAAGUAGAAGAACAAAGUGCUAAUUAAUUCUAAAGUAAUGUGGAGAAUAACGUAAGCUUACAAACACUUUCAUGAACUUUGAUUCCUAUAUACUAUUUAAUAUAAUUAUGAUUUUUUUAAUUAAAAAAACAAUGACUUACUAUUGUUUUGACACCUUGAAUUAUCGAAGUUUAUGUAAUUGAUAAAAGAAAUUCGGUUGAAAAAUAGGUGCAACCUUUCUAGUUAAGUAAUAUAGAGAUGAACAAUAUCUAUAUCUUUAGACGAGAAUCAAAUAUUAAUUGAUCUCCACCUUUAUCAUCAGUUAAUUUUUAUUUGGUAUUGAUCUUAUCACCUUUAUUCUUCUUAAUUUUUAUUUGGUGAGAAAAAAGAUGGUGACUAAUCUGAGUAAGAUUGUAGCUACAUUAAAUUGAGAAUGAUGAUAAAUAAUAAAUGAGAGAAUAACACACACCGUGGUUUUACCAUGAGAAAUUCCUCAAAAUAUUUUACGGUAAAAAUUACAAAUAGAGAUAGAAGAAUUCUACUCGGUUGUAGAGAUGACAUGAUAGAACGAAAAAUCUAGUUGGUCAAUUAAAAUCGACUAAACCAAAGGUGGUUGGUUGUAGAUAAGGAGAGAUUAGAACAAAGUUGACUGAUCGGACCAACCAAUAAUUGGUUUUUACUCAUUCGUGGUCAGGUCAGUCUGGAUAUUUACUAAGCUGACCGUAGUUGGUUCGUUGUCAAUUUAGUUAAAUAACCGACUAUAUCAAUGUUCAUCAAUAUUCAAUUUUCUGAAUCUGCACCUAUUUAUAGUCUAAAGAUAUUUAGUAUGAAGUCUAAUUGCUCAAAAUUCAUCAUUGAUCAACAAUAUGGAGAAUCUAAGGGUCACAUAUCUUAGAUAAAGUAUAAGUUGUGAUCAUUCAAGUUAUCUUAAAUAUAAUUUAAAUGAUUAAAUGAAAAAAUUAAAAGAAUUUCUAUUUAAAUGGUUAAUCUUCAAGGAAAAUUUGGAAAUUAAUGGCAGCAUUCUUCAACUUUUCUAGAAAAAGAAAAUAAUAUCUAAUGCUGUAUAAUAAUUUAUGAAAAGUGCAUGAAUCCAAGACCAUUUUUCAAUUCUUUUUCUUCUUCUUUGCCUUUAUUUUCUUCUUAGGCCUACUAUUAACUUAUUCAUAUUAUUAAUUUUCUUCGUAUUUUUACUUAUUAUUUGCAAUUUCUUCAUUUUCUUUUUUAAAUUUUCUUCCUUCUUUCUUCAUAUAUCUCAUUCUCUUUUUCUUCUUCUUCAUCCAAAAUCUAAAUUAAACGAUAUUGAUAUAAGAUCUAAACAAUCGUGUACCAAUAUUCAAGUGAUCGGUUGUCUGGAAAGACAGAGAUAAACAACUAUCACUAACAAAUUAUUUAGCUUUGAUACAAUAUCAUUUAGACUGGGUACAAGAUCGUUUAGACUGUGUAUACAUAGAUACAAGAUCAUUUAUAUUUGAUUAUACUUUUGUUAUUUCAGAUUGUGAGCUUGUGAAACUUUUUUCUUUUUAGGAAGUAAAUAUUUUCACGCAAAUCUUUUUUUUAUUCCCCAAUCCUUGCUGGUUUGAAUUUAAAUUAGACAAAUAUGAAAUUGUUUUUAAAAUUGAAAUAACAAAGAAAUGAGUAGCUCCUUUGUUCCAGGAGAGUAAGGAGGCAUGUUUUAUGACAUAAUUAUUCCAAUCCUUUCAAUUGAACUUAUGAAUUGUUGGCAGUCAAUUAAUAUAGACUCUUAAAUUCUUAGAUGUAUAUUAAAUGAACGGGUGUGUGUAUAGUAAAGUGUUUGAAUAAGUGAAUUUAAGAGGUAAUGGGGAGUUUUCCCCAAUUUUGAGAGUCAUUGCUGACUGGUUUCCUAGUCAGAUAUUCUAUAAGGAUAGUUCUUUUGUUUGUUUGUUUUUAUUGCAUGGAGUGUUGUGUGUAGGAAUCUUUUAAUUUGAUUGAUUGGGAAAGAACAAACAAAUUAAAAUACACUACUUUAAACUCACUUUAUACACUUAAUAUUCAUCACUUCAUUUACCAAAAACGUGUCUAUGUCUAUGUCUAGUAAGAGAAAAAGAAAAUUGUAGUAAGAUCAAAAUUACAAAUAUUUGGACAAGACUUUGUUUAGGGUUUUUAAAAUUAUUUUAAUUUUAUUUUUGAAAUGCAUCCAAGCUUAUAAUUUUCGUGAGAUGUUUUAAUUAAUUUCUUUUAAAGUAUGAUGAGACCUAGAUAUUAUUCAAGGAUAAUGUAGAUGUGAUCCUCGAGUUAGGUAAAAUAAAAAAAAAUAAGAAGAAAUUCAUGGAUUUUUGUUUUCUUUUUUUUUUUUUUUACAAGAAAACAUUUCAUCAAUAAAAUGAAAAAAGUGGCACAAAGACUAUAGUUCUUAAAAUGGUGGCCAAUUUUGCAUUAGUACCAUAGAUAACACAAGAUCGAAAUAAGAUGUAAAAGAGAAAACAAAAUUCUCAAGGAACCUUUUAUUAUGCUCCCCUCACAAAUUUUAGAAGAAAGCCCAAAGAGCCAGACAAAUCAAAUUAUCAAAUUUUAGAAUAAAAUCCCCUACAGAAUGAUCAAGAGAAUCUGUUAAAUCAUCAAUAAGAGAUCUUCCAGAUAAAGUAGAAGAGGGGUCAAUAGUCCAUUUCCAAGAACCAUGCACUAGGUGAAAUCUAAUAGAGGUCAAUAAUGCAGAUAAAGAGGCGCAUUACCUUCAUUGUAAUCUUACUAAGCCUUAGAAUCAACAAGCCACAAUUCAACAACAGUAAUGUUAAGAAAACAAGUAAGCUGAAACAAAUGAAGAAAGAUAACAGAGAAAACACAACAAUCAAACCAUUGGUCCUUCCAAAAAGAGAUGGUGGAACUUGCCCCAAGGCAAUGCUGUGUGUAUGAGAAGCAACAAGGUCAAUAUAGUUUGAUAGAUAAACCUUCACAGAGACUUAAUAGACAUACUAACAAAUAGACAUAUCUAUACACGUGGAGGAGAGUAAUAUUUAGCCAGAAUGAGUUUUCACCACAAAGGUUCAUGCUCAUGUAAAAACUUCCAAAUCCAUUUGGCCAAUAGUGCAGAAUUUCGAUGAUGGAAAUUAUCAAUGCCAAGACCACCAAGAAGCUUAGAAUGCUGUGUAGUAGGUCAAUUCACAUUAUGCAGACCAUUCUCACCACAAGAUCACAUUGUGCAUACCAUUCUCACCACAAGAUCCUUCCCAAAGAAAAUCACAAAUCAAUUUAUCUAAGCAGUUAACAACAUCAUCAGGAGCGUAAAAAGAGAUAGUUAAUAUGUAGGGAAGCUAGAAAGAGUGGCUUGCAUGAGAGUAUGUUUUCCACCCUUGGAGAAAUAGGCAUAUUUCCAGUUAUGAAUUUUACGUUGGAUCCUCUCAAUAACAAGUUCCCAGAAGGUUAUCAAAUAAGAAUUGCCACCAAGGGGAUCAGAAGACCAAGAUAAGAAGCAGAAUAAUGACCCAUUUUGCACCAAACAGUAGCCAUCAUCCAGUUCAAGAUCAUCCUCAGAAAUGUCUAUUCCAAGUAGCUCACUCUUGGACAGAUUAAUAGGCAAUCCAAAUGUUUAUUCAAAGACAUGAAUGACCUUAAACAAGUGAGUAAGUGCAACACGACCAACAAUAAAGAAAAGCAGUAUCAUAAGUAGAUUCCAAGCGACAUGAAACAAAAUUAGAAGCACCAAUUAGGUGAAUAGCAAUAGGGUCUUUAGAUAGUCUACGGUCCAACAGAUAAGUUAAAAAGUCAACCAUCAAGAUAAAAAGGAAAGGAGAUAAGGGAUCUCCUUGUGUGCUAUCACAAGUGUAGAUAAUCUUACCAUGUGACCUACCAUUAAUAAUUAUAGAAAAUUUGGCGCUCAAAACCAAACCUUCCACCAACAUCAAACCAUCAUGAAACCUUUAGCCGGAAGAAUAACAUCUAAAAGACCUCAAUCAACAGUAUCAAAAGUCUUUUCAGGGUCAAGCCUAAUAACCACAUCGUUCUUCUUAUUAUGAAGCCAAAUCAUCAACCAAUUCAUUUGCCAUAUGGGAUGCAUAUAAAAUUUGUCUAUUUUCAACAAAAGCAAGUUGAUUCAAAGCAAUGGUGGAAGGAAGAACGUGCUUCAAGUAGUUUAAUAAAACUUGAACAAUAAUAUUAUAUGUAUAAAGAAUAAGGUUAAUUGACCCCUAAUUAGAGACCAACUUUGGAUCAAUUUCUUGAGAGGGAAAUGUGUAUAUAUAUAUAUAUAUAAAAGUUUCAUUAAGGAAAACAUUGAUAACUCUAAAAACAAUCAAUGAUCAUACUUAUAAUAUCAUUUUUUUAUAGUAGACCAAUUUUUUUUUAAAAUUUUAGUUGUAAAACCAUCGGGACCAGAUGACUCAUUAGCUCCUAAAGAAGAGACAAUUGAGAAAAAAUCUUCUUGAGAAGGUGGACGCUCAAGGUUAGUAGCCUUGGUAGUAGAAAUAAGGCUUUAAUUCACAUUAGUAAGGAGGAACCAUGAACCACGUUUCUCAGUAAAGAGCUUUAUGUAGAAGUCACAUAAUUCACAAUUUUUCCAAUCUACGAGCCAUUUAAGCUUGCAACAUUGCUUUCAUUAGAUGUACUUUUGUGCUAUUAAAAGUUCAAUUUAUUCCCUCAACAAAAGACAAGUAGGCAAUCACUUUUUUGUAAGUUGAUCUAUAUUAUCAAUGUUGUUCAACCCUCAAAGUUGAGAGAUAAGUGAAGGUAAUUUAGAGGCUUUGCACGGUUGAGUGUGGUUCCACAUAUGAAGAAUUUUUUUAAAGCUUGAAGUUUCAUCAUCAAACCAUGAUCAGAUCAUCCACUUCUUGAGUUAUUGGUCCACAAAUGUUCAACAAGAGGUCGAAAAGAUGGAAUUUGAAGCUAAGCAUUCUCAAAACCAAAAGAGCAUGGGCCCCAGUCAAUAUCAUCGACAAUCAACGUGAUAACUCCGUAAAUGAGCUAGGUUUUCUAGGUUAAAACUCUCCAGAUAAAAACAUUUAUGCAUUAAUUAUCUUGUUUGAUAGAAAAUAAUAAUCAAGAGAAGCCAAAGUGUCCAAUGUAACAAGAAUGACUCAAUUUUGAGCUAAAACAAGCGAAAAUGAGCUAAAAGAAGAUAAGGUUGCGCUUUUGUAAAUAUUUGACAAAUGGUGUCGUCCCCAACAAUAUCGUGUCGAAGAUCUGUGCCAAAAGACAGAAUGCAUCAAAAUUCUGCAGUGCCAUGACACUCUCAUUAGUGUCGUAUUGCCAGUCCAAUACCCAAUCAUAGUACUACGACACUACAGAUUUUUACAUCGUAUUAGAUGCACCACAUGCCUUUUACAUAAGCCGACUUAACAUGCCUAUUUAAGUCAUUUUCACUCAUAUUUUUUAUAUUCACACGUCAUUUUUCAAAUUUACAAAAAAACUUGGACAAAACCUUUUAUAAUGUGAGUAGAUAUGUUGUUUAAUUAUGAAUUUCUGUUCACACGAGAUUAUCCUUAGAUAUGCAUAGGUAAAGGUAGCUCAACAAUGUUGGCCCAAUAAGCCUAUUAUUUUAGGGGUAAGACUGGGUAGAUAGCUGAAAACAUAGGGUGCAAGACGAAAUUUAUUCUUACCUAUUAUAAUGUGAGUAGAUAUGUUGUUUCCUUAAGGACUAAAUCCAGGUCUUGAAUCCUCUCAUGCGAGGGAUUUGGUUUGUAGGUUAGACCUUAAACUAACUGUUCAAUAGUGGAUUAGUGAACUUAAGAAACAAGAUGUAAUCUCGAGGGUAAAAUGGUAUUUUGACCUAGUCGUGAUUAUGAACAAUCUUGAGGUCCUUAAGUCUUGCUUAAAGGCCUAACCUCUUAAACUUAACAAGAAUACUAUGCUUGAGUCGAUUAGAAAACUUAACACAAAGAAGUAUUCCAAACUUAAACUUUAUUAAACUUUUAGCUAAGCAGUUACAAUAAGCUUUACAACACUUGGUCAAAAACAUAAUAUUUAAAACUUAAGCUAAAAUGCCUUGACAACCCUUUUGUCUAGUAAACCCUUCACUUUUCCUUACUUGGCCUUAAUGCUCGGAAAUUGAAAAAAUAAAAAUUUAAAAUGUAAGCCUAAGAGACUCAGUGAGGUUUUUGAAAUAUCCUUUUUGCAAAAUAUCUUUCAUAAACACUAUUUCGUCAAACACAACAAAUCGUCUUAAACACAUAUAUAUUUUUUUUACAAUAGCUUAUCAUUUCAUGUAAAAACUUCAUCUUGCAUAAACAUUUAUUACUCAUAAACACACAUUAGUUAUCCCCCAUUCCUUUCACUAAGGAUCCCUAAUCAUUCCUUACACUAGGUCUCAUUACUUCUCAUUUAGAAUACUGUAACAAUAGCAUUCAAGAAUAUAUAGAUUCGUCCUUGUUGCUUAGGCCGCUAAGUUCAAUACGCUAGCUCUUUUCAAUGUAUUAACCAACUUCUAAUCACCAUGCGACCCCUUUCACCCACAGUUGCCUUGACUCAUUAUGUUCAAUACGCUCCUUUCAACGUAUUAACCAACUUCUAAUCACCAUGUGACCCCUUUCACCCAUAGUUGCAUUGACUCAUUAUGUGCACAUAAUAGUUAGCUCAUUUAAAGAAAUCACUAAUGUAUUGAACACCAUUUCAUAACAAGUCAUGCUUUGAAACACAUAAAACAUACUUUAAAACAUAUAAAUCUCUUUUAGAAACUUUCAUACUGAAGUCAUCAUUUCAAACCAUCAAAGAAUUUAUAAGAAAGCUGAAAUCAUUUAAAUACUUUGAAGAAAACACUUACUACACUUGAUGACUUAGACCCGAAAAGCUCCUCUUCCACUUCUUCUCGUGUAGGCACUUUGGCAGCAACUCAUCCCUUUAACUUUUCUCUUGAAUUUUGCAGAGUAACAAUAAUAACUAAUAGUAUGACCUCAACCACUAUUUAUAUUACUCCUUAAACAAGCUUAGUCAUGCUUAAACUCUUAACAACUUGUCACCUUCUACUUUCAGUGGUGCACGUAUAGGCUUAAGAUUUAACUUAAUCAUGCUUAACUUAAUCUCUACACGUGACCCAUCAAAAUAUUUACGAAUUUUUUUAGAACUUUCUUUACUUCACUACUACAAAAAUAGGCUCUCUUGACGUUUUUAAACUGUCAAGAAUCACUAUUCUUGACGGUUUUAAAACCGUCCUUGAAGCCAGUGUCAAGAAAGCCAAAGUUCUUGACGGUUGAUAAAAACGUCAAGAAUAUUGAACGUUGACGUUUUAUAAACGUCAAAUAUACAAAUGUUCAUGACAGUUAAAAACCGUCAAGAGUGUGAAUGUUUAUGACAACUUAAAUCCGUCAAAAGUAUUAGUAUUCAUGACAUUUAAUAACCGUCAAGAAAUUGAUUGUUUAUGACAUUGAAAAACCGUCAAAGAUGCACUUGUUUAUGACAUUUUAAAACCGUCAAGUAUGUUAUAAAUUUUUUUUUUUUAAAAAUUGUAAUUCAAUUAUAUUUUUUUUCCUAUUAUCCAAUGAUUCUAUUUUAACAUAAAACUAGUAAACAUAUAAAUUAAUAAGAACUUUCAUAUAUAACAAUAACAUAGAUAACAUUUUUACAAAGAAACUAAGUACACUAAAUCUAUCGAAUUUUUCCAAAGGGAUAAAUACAAGUAAAAUAGAAACUAAACCUUGGUAAUAUAUUUUUACAAAGAAACUAAAUGCAAUGUUUUGUCAUAGAUAACUAAAUUACAACAAGUCUUGUCACGAAUCAAACAUCAAUCACUUGCUUGGUAGCUUCAUCACUAUAGUAAAUGAAUCAGAUAUUAGUGAAAAACCUUGAUAAUCUGAAAUGUGUAGAUGUUCCACUUUCACACCAUCAGUGUCCUCCGUUUCAUCUUCUUCACCGCCAUAAUCAACAUCUCCUUCGAAUACUAUACCAGUAUAAGAUUUGUUAUUAUUUAAAAACCCAUCUACAAAACAAACCAAAAAGAACUUCACUUCUGUUGGACAGUUGAAACCCUCCAAACUUCUAAUCCAACCCAAAAAUAAAAUUAAACCAAUUAUUAUUUCCCUUUGGGUAAACGUCAUAAAAAUAAUGUCUCUUGGGACUUCUAAAACUAUUGAGCUUACCACACAAGAUACAUCAUGAACCAAUAGUUUGCUUGAUCAUGCACAACUAUUUGCAUCUCAAAAGGUGAGGAAGUGUGACAUCUAAACACUUUGAGAGAAGGCUGCCUUAAUCAUGUGCUGAUCAUGCAGUUAUAUCAUAUCAAGACUCUUGCACUACUUAACCACCUAAUAAUGCGUAGACCUUCCUUCACCUUUUUCUCGCAUACAAGUUAGUUCCUUCAAUCCACCACCUUGCUAUAAUUUAUUCUCUGUUCAUGAGUCUCUAGUUGUGGUUGUAGUUAGCAUUAUAUUCUUUCAACUUAAUUGCCAUAACGCCUAAACGAUAAGUGGACCUUAGAACUAAAGUCCAUAACAAUUCCCUGUGUUCGACCUUGGAUCACUAGGUAAACCUACUAUUUUUCUUGCACUUCGGCAAGCAGUAGGAAAACUUGUACUCAACGAGGAUUUAUGUACCACGCGAUGAAGAGACACGUAGUGAACACCUUACAUGCUAUGAUUAUGACCCAUGACUCAUUGCCUAGAAUUGAAGCAUGCUAUACAGAGAGUUAUGGUAAGCACAUUAUGCACAAUGACCUAAAUCAGUGACAUAUUCCAAUCGAGCUACACACACAAAACUAUUAAGUCCAAACGAACUAACAAAAAAUGCCUUCUUUUAUCCCAACCGCCUAGUUCAUAACACUUCGCCAAAUUUUAAUCUCUUAACUUAGGUACGAGUCUCAUAUGUUAAGAUUUGACAAAGAUAAGAGGAAAUGAGAUUUAAAAGGAAAAAUUCUUGGAGAAGUAUUAAGGGUUUAAACCAAGGAAGGAAAAGUUGGGAAGUUUUCUAAGUGUCCAAAAGAAGAAGACUGUUAGGCAUUUGGAGGUCAGGUGUGUGGCGAAAGUGACGCUAAAUAACCUCUAAAUGGCAUUCAUUGGACGACCAAUGGCAGCCAAACCAUGAAAAUAAUCUUUUAGGAAAAGUCUAGGCGUUUAAGAGGGCAUGGAAAUAAUAGACUUGCUAGGCGUGAUGGCGAUGAUUUAGAUAUUAAUGUCACAACCUGCUUGCUAUCAUGAGACGUGACGUGAUGUCACCUGAAGUCGUUCACCUCUGGAACAACCUCAACUGACACAUGACAUGGAAACAUGAAACAAUCAAUAGUGGAAGUCUUUAACUUGAAAUACUUAAAAUCGUAUGUACUAUGACUCAUUUGAUAUAUUUAUAAAGUGUAUCAUGGAAAAUGAACAAAACAUGAAGGUACAAAUAUUUGAACAAUCACAAUACUACUUAAACAAAACAAUGUCCUUACAUAACAAAAACUAAGUUGGCCUGAAAACAAUAUGUUGAGCACACAAAGGUCCACAAUCUAUACCUAAAAAGUCGGAAAAUGUUUUUAAAAUGGUAAGUCAAAAGACUUAGUGAGCAACAAUUUUAGAAAAUAGGUUUUCAUAAAUAUUUUAGUAUAAAACUGAAGCUUAAAUAUAUUUAUCAAUAGAAACAUUGAAAUCUUUUGUAUUUUCGAAGAUAAUCCUCCAUAACCACGAGCAGUAUUUACCCCUUCGUCUGAAGAUGGGACAGUCGAUGAGAAGUUAUCCCCCACUUUUAAGGUAUAAAUAUAUACCCUUCCUGAUAGUUCAUAGUUAAAAAUAAGUUUUUCUACAGUACCAUCAGUAUGCAUGCAGUUAACCACAUGUAUAUAAUAGGUCUCAUGUUAUAUUUAGAUAUAUAGGUGGUCAAACAAGUUAGUGGUUAUGGGAAGUGGAUAUUUGUUGUGAAUAGUGAGCUUGUUCAGGACACAGUAGUUGAUACACAAUCGUAAACUUCCGUCCUUCUUCUGGAAAAGGACUAGGGCCCUAUACAAAGCUUUUGCAGGUCUAAUAAAUCUCGCACUCAAUAACUUGUCCAACUGUUUUUGAAGUUUAGCUAACUUUGAUGGUGCCAUACGAUAGGCAUUCUUCGCAGGCGGUUUUGUUCUGGCACAUUUUGAUCUCAUGAUCAAUUAUUCUUCGCAGUGGCAAAGAUUUAGGCAAAUUGUCAGGCAUCACAUCACUGUACUUCUCUAAGACAUAAGAAUAUCUUUAGAGACUGUCUCCCUCAGGUUUUUCAACGACUCGAGCGAGAUGGCCAUAAACAUUGGUUCAUCUCGAGCGAGGCCCUUCUUCAGUUGUAUGAUCGAAAUCAUUUUUAAUCCAGUAGGCUCGCGAAUGUCUAUCUGUACAACGGUGGGGGUAGGUCCGAUGAUCACUAGACAUUUGGGUAAAGGAAUUGGUAUAAUAUGAUGUUCAAGUAGAAAUUCUAUUCCCAUACUACAUUGAAGCCAUCCAUCUUUACAACCACAAAGUCUAUAGGGUCGUUCCAUCCUUCCAACUUUAUCGUCAUUUGUUUUACUAGUCUGACAAUGGUUAAAGCAAUAGAAUUCACGACCUUCAUCUUUUCUCUAUCCUUCUCCCAUUGAAAACUUAGUCGUCUGGCUUCUGCCUCUGUUAUGAAAUUAUGGAUUGUAUCGAAAUCUACCGUAGUGCUCUUAGUUGGUUUCUAGUUGAUCCAGGUGUCCAUGUACAUUAGACCCUUUUCCACCGGCCCACUUGUCUUCCCUACCUUCUUCUGGACAGACGAUAAGAAUCUCAAGGCCCACAUUCUAGAAUUUUCUCCUUUCUCUAUCCUGCCAAUUAUCAUCUAAUUUGGGGCUAACGAGGCCUGAAAGGCAAUGAAGGCGAUUGCGUCCGGACAUUCUCUAGCCAGAUGUGGUUCUGUACAUAUGAAGCAACUAAGAGGACGAUUGGAUGAGUUUUGAUUGUUGGGUCCUCACCAGGUUUUCUCUGUAAUUGGUUGGAAAGGCUUGUGGUCUCUGCCAGAUAUGUCUCCCCCCACAAAUUUGGGAGAACUCGGGCAGUUAUUCAUGUUUGCUCCAAAUGAAAUUUUUGAUGAUGUCUCACAUCUUGAGAGUCGUUGGAGAGAUCAAACAAUUGUUCAGCCUCUACGUACGUCGACAUGAAGUCUUGGACACUCUAUUCAUAUAACUUGGUCUUCGGCCACGACUUUAGACCCUCGACAAAAUAAAAAACUUUAUCUUUCUCAGACAUAUCAUGUAUGUCUAACAUCAGCACCGCAAACUGUAUCACAUACUCGCGAAUGAUGUUGGUGCACUUUAGUUCGCUUAAUUUCUGCUGAGCCAGAAUUUUAACAUUCUCAGAGAAGAACAUCAGUAGAGUUCUUUCUUUAGAGCAUUCUGUGUCUAUUGUGCCGCCUUUCCUGAAUGUCAACAUAUCAGGAUCUCCACCACAAUUUGGCAUCUUUAGAGAGAUGCAUAGUCGUCAAUGCCAAUUGGGCUUCUUUUUUUAUUGUAUUUGUGGCCUUGAAGUACUGCUCGAGAUUAAAAAUGAAUUUAUCUAAGGCUUUUGCAUCCCUUGCCCCACAAAAUGGCUUGGGUUCGGGAAUCUUUAAUUUUCUCAUUGGGAUUGCUUCUCUAGUAGGAGUUUCCAGUUGGGUUGCCAUUGCUCGCAAUCGUGAGAUUCACCCUCAUGUUCACGUCUGUAAUUUUGUUUCUAACGAUAUCAAGGGAAACUCAAAAAUCCUCUGACAUGUCGUUUAUCAUUUCCAUAAUGGUCUUCUGAAAGCUAUCUAGUUCAAACAGAUGUUCCUCUAUAUGGGCAACAGAGCUUGUCGAACUGUCUCCACGCUUGUACAUGUUUAUGUUUUAACUGUCAAUAAGCCAACUUGGCUCUGAUAUCAAUUGUCAUAAUAACAAUCUUUCAAACACCGGACGGGCAAUUGUGUGACACUUAUUCUACUCAGUUAACAAGUUAGUUGAUCAAAAUUCAAAAAUUGCGAAUAAACUUGCGGUAUGAUGAAGUCUCCCUUCACGUUCUUGAAAAAAUUGUUUUAUAAAACAUGAGAGAGAAAGAGAUUCAUUGAAAACAUCAUAAAAGAAAGCAUUAAAGACUGUCAAUUGAAAAGAGAGUUUUAAUUGCAAAGAGUGCAACAAGUCUUGGUCGGGAUUCAACUACUAUGUCUCCCAUAUAGUACAUUUUGAACAUUUGUAGCUUUGACAGACUUGUAUAUGAAAAUGUCAAAAUGUCACACCCUAUGUCGGCGACAUAUAAAGGAAAGCAUUAUACUAGACUAAGUACAACACACAUAAAGACAAGAUGGUUUGGAGGUAUUUGAGCAUACAAUCAUAGGCAAACAACGACCUAGACAAGUACGCCCGUAACACGCGGUACUCCUCAAUGAGGUUAGCACACGACAAGGCCUGCACUGGCCAUGCGUGUGCCCCAAGCCUAGGCAUCAUGCUAUUAGGUGCCAUAAGGCAAUUUUGGGUUGUUUUGCUAUUUUUGGGGAUUUAAAGGAAAGUUUGGAUAUUUUUAUGAUCAAGAAAUUAAUUAAAGGUUUAAUGUGGAUUUUUCAGAACAAGGAGACUGAAGGAAAUUUUGACUAAAGAUCAACUCAAGUACUGUGAGUGACACAUUGAUUUAAAAGUUAUUUAUGAAUAAUGAUUUUCAAGUUAUUGUUCAGAGACAUGUUUUAUGAUAAAUGAUUAUUGAACUGAUUUCUCAAUCUAUGCUAUGUUUGAAUGAUUUAUUGAUGAAAUAUGAAAGCAAAAGGAAAUGUUUCAGAAUCUUCAAUAUGUUUUAUCCUAGUCCAGAUAUUCCACGAGACCUACUAUAUACAUAUGGUUAACUCUAUAUUGAUGGUAGGGUUGACAAGUCAAUUUUUAGCUAUGGGCCAUCAAGAAGGGUAUGUCUUUAUACCUUAAAAGGAUGAGGAUUACAGUGAAAGUUGUUUCCUAUUGACUUUUCCGUCUUAGGACGAAGAGGUUUAAUACUGUUUGUGGCUAUGGAUCAUUUCUUCCAAAAGCUAUGCAAAAGUUCAUUGUUUCAAGUAUCAUGUUAUGAAACGAUUAUUUAUUGAUAAAUGUUAUUUAAGCUUCAGUUUUAUGUUAAACUGUUUAUGAAAACUUGUUUUAUAAAAUUGUUGCUCACUAAGGGUGUGUUUGAAUUGUUUAUGAAACAAAAUGUUUUCUUUAAGAAUACAUUUUUUAAAAAACCUUUUUUAGAAAAUGAGUUUACGCUUACAUGUUUGGUUUGAUUUCUUUAUAAUAUGCAAAAUUGUGUUUGGUUUGUCCGAUACUAACAAUGUUUAUACUUAAGUAAAAUUACCAUAAAAGACUAUUAAAGAUUAUGAACUAAUUCCAUAAAAAACUACACACAUUUUCAAUCAUUCUUUAAGAAAUAUAUUUUAAAAUUAAUCGCAAGUUAUCUUGAAAUUACUAAUUUUUUAGUUACUUGAAACGCAACAUUCAUUUUAUUUUUUUUAUUAAAUUUUUUUAGACAAUUCGACUUUAGAAGCACACAUAUCUUGAAAUGCAAAUACAUAACUAUAAAAAAAAAAAUAAUUGAUUUCCAACAACAACAAAAUAUAAAUAAGAAUAAUAAUUUUUUCAAGACAAUAUAAUAUCAACUAGACAAUAAGGUGUGCAACUCGAUCACAUUUCUCAUUCAUCUUUAUUUCAUGAACUGAAUGAUCAUGUUGUUUAUUGACGUCCUAAUGAUUUUUUUCACAGAUUUUAAGGCGAAGUAGAUUUGGCCGAGAGAGGAACAUUUACAAAUCCCUAUAUUUAAAUGUAUAUGAACACACAUUGAAAAAAUAUUCAAAGUAAUUAAAAAAAAAAACAAAAAAGAACGAUAGAGUGAAAAAUAGAUAGGAAAAAGGAAUAGAAAAAAUAGAUAUUUGGGAAGAAUUCUUCCUUAAACACCGAAUAAAUAUUUUGUUCUAAAUUUUGGUUGCAUGUGUUUUCUCCAAAAUGAUUUAUUUCAUAAUCUCAUUUUUAAAAAAGUUAUUUUCAACCAAUGCCAAACACUUCAAUUUAUCUUAAAAUGAAUUAUUUUAAAAAUUAAACACUUCAAAAAUCAAUCCAAUCACACCCUAAGUCUUUUGACUUAUUCUUUCAAAAUGUUUUCCCUCUUUCCAGGUACAAAUUGUGAAUCUCCCUAGGCUGAACUUACUACUGCUAGGUCAAAUCCAUUUCUAGUCAUGAAAGGAAAUGAUUUAGUAAAAAUAUCAUUAUUAUUUAUAAAAAUUUAUAUUUCCAUGUGUUAUAUACUUUACUUAUAUUUAUAAAAGUCAUUUCUAAAUGGGUCACACAAUAGUUUUAAGUUAUUUCUAAAUUUAAAAACUUCUGCUUGCAAACGUUUUACGUUUUCAAGUUAAGGGUUAGAUGAAGUUGUUUCAAAGGUGAAUGAUUUAAAUUGACAUCACGCCACCUUCGAGAUUUAGAGCAGGUGAUCUGGGAGGGGGUGUGACAUGUGGAGAUUUCAAGCUAAUGGAAGAUACAAAGGCAAUUUUCAGUCAAACCCUAAUUUAGCUUAAUUAGGAAGUUUUAGGCAUGUUAAUUUCUAAUAGGAUUAGAUGCAAUUAGGGUAAAAUUGAUCUGAUUUAUGUUGUGCGUGUCUACCGUAUUCAUCACAUUUAAUAUUUGUUACUCCGACGAUUCACUUGAACACGAAUCAGUUAACACGUUUAACAAUCCUUCUACUAAGUGGAUCACUCAAAGCAUGGCAGCCUCUAAUCUUAUGUGCACAUAAUAGCUAGUUUUGAUCAAGAAUAAAACUAAUGAUUUUGUAUACAUACAAGCAUCACAACAAUACAACUUCACAAACGUAAACAUAAUUCAAAAUGGUCAUGUUCUAUUAUGAGAUUAUAGCAUGAGCAUAUCUAAUAAUAUAGCAACAUAACAACAUGACUCCAAUGGUAAUUAUUUUUUUCAAAGGCUCACUUUUCUUCUAAAGGGUCACUCACUUAGCUAAGUUUUUCUUUUUCCCAUUCUCUUCUUCUUAUCGCCUAGAGCCUCUUCUCCCUCAUCGCUUCACCCUACAACGAAGCUUCAUCUUUUACACUUCUGAUAGAACUUUCUCUUACCUAAAUACUUAAAUUAAUCCUACUUCAAAACUAUUUAUACUAUCCUCAAAUCAGGUUUGUCAGCAUUACACUUUCCCUAAUCAUGAUAACUUCUACUUAGUGUGUUACAUGUGUUAGUUUAGUAUCCUUCUUAAACCAUGCUUAACUUAAACUUAAUCCAUGUUUAGCUAACUAAUCAGUCUCCUCCUCAGCUAGCUCGUAAAACCUGAUAAUUGGUUAAGUGUUCGUUGUCACCUUCUCUUCUCGGGUUAUCUUGUUGUACCAUGUUGCCUUUCUUCACUACGCGUUGUCUGAUUCCUUCACUUGAAUGAUUGUGUAACGUGACAAAAUAAUUGAUUAUAUGGCUUAACAAAUUUCUGGGUCAGCUGAUAUAUUUGAAUCACAACCAUCAAUCUCCAAUCAGAGUGGAGGAAGAGAGGUGUUCAUUCAUGGGAGCAUUGAUCGGAGGGUUGUCGUGAGGUGCAUGGCAAAUUGGCUUAACCAAACUAACAAGCUUGGCAGGUUUAAUCAUGAUUAGAGAACUAUAGUCACAAAUCACACUUCCUUUAAUAUAUUUUGCGAUUAUGUCCAGAGUGUAAGCAAUUUGGAGAUGGAUGCCACAUCGUCCCCAAGAUAAAACAACCGACACAAUCAAAAUUGCACAGGAGUCAAUUAGAAUACCAACACUUUCGGAGGAUUGUGCUUGAAAAACAAAGAGGAGCAAAAGAGAAUGAAAACAAAGAGAGGUGAAAACAAAAAGAACAUAGAGGGAGGAGUUCUUAUAUCGGAGUUGAUUUUGUAACCGCUCAAAUGUUUGAAAAAUAGAUUUGUAAUAGUUUGGUCAAAACUUGAUUUGUAAUAGUUGGUUGAAGAAAACAAAAAAUUGGUUGACUUGAAUAACAAAACUGUUUAAACGUUGAAUAAAUAAACAUCUAAUUAAAAAUUAAAUAAAUAAAGGAGGUCUUUUAAAAAAUAUAACAAAACCGCAAAAUAUUUACACCCUAUAAACUAAUUUUGAAAAGGGAUAGUUGCAAAUUUAGCGAUUAGAUUCAAAAUAAUUAAGCAUAUAACAACAUUUUAAAUUUUUUGUAAAUAUAGCAAAAUUUGUCAAAUUCUAUCAAUGACACAAGUCUAUCAUCGAUAAACCAUGUUGUAAAUAUUGAUUUAUCAAUAAUAGAUCAUACGAGUUUAUCAGCGAUAGUUUGCUAUAUUUGCAAUUUUUAAAAAUGUUGCUAUAUCCUUAAUUAUUAUUCCUCAAAUGACCAUAAAUUACAAUUACCCUUUUGAAAACGAAAAAAGCUCACAGGCCAACAAUGGAAAAUACAAAAAAAAAAAAAAAUGCAAUUAAUUGUCAUCUGUAAUAUAUUUUGUAAACGAUAGUUUAUAACUGACUAUUAUUUCCUUUGUGAUCAUUUAGAUUUGAUUAUUUAGAUUUGACUACUAUUUUUUCAAGAUUUUUUAAUACACAUUCGUUUAGAUUUGCUACAGAUUCCUUUAUAUUUGGUUAGUUAGAUUUGAUCAUUUAAAUUUGGCCAUAUUUAAACCAUAUUUUUUAAAGAUUCUUGAGUACACAAUCGUUUAGAGUUGAGUAUACAAUCGUUUAGAGUUGAGUAUACAAUCAUUUAGAUUUUAGAUAGCCAAAUCUAAAUGACGGUUUUUUUUCUUUCAAGAUCAUUUAUAGUUGGUAGACAAUUUUGAACAUUGAACAACCAACCGUUUGAAAAAAAAAUAUUGAUAUUUUAUAUUUGAUAUAUGAACUUAAACCAAAUAACAAUUUUAAAAAAAAAAUAAAGAAAAAUGGCAGAAGAUCCACUACAAGAAAGUAGUGCUAUUUCAACCAUUUUUUAUCGAAGGCUAAUAAAAACCUUCAAGAAAGAUAUACAUUUAUCGGAGUUUAAGAAAAACCUUUGAGAAAUACAUGUUUUUUUUAUGGAAUAAUAAUAAAAUUUUUGUAAAAGAUAUACAUUUUAUCGAAGGUGUUGAAAAAACUUUCGACAAUAUCUACUUUUUAUCGGAUUAUUAAUAACCUUUGAAAAAAAAAUACAUUUAUUAAAGAUUAAUAAAGUUCUUUAGAAAAGAUAUACAUUUUGUGGAAGGGGUUGAAAAAACCUUCCAUAACUAUAUCUACUUUUUAUCAUAGGAUAAUAAAUAACAUAAUAAAUAGCAACAAGAAUUUGGUUAGAUGAAAAAUGAAGGUCUUGAGAAGCUCAAUUGUAAUUAGAGGUUUAAGGGCUUUGGGAUGGGAUGCGAGAACGAAUUGGGAAGUUUUGGGAUUGAAUGGGGUGAAUAAUUUAAAAAACAAUAUCACCAUGAGAAGAAAACGGACCCAAAACGAAUGGGGGACUUUGUUAUUUUGACAACUUAAAUAGGUUAGGAUCAUCCAUACACUUAAUCACCCUCCCAUUUCUUCAAAUCUUUCUCAUGCAAUGCAUUUAUUCCCAGUUCAUUUCAGAUCCCUUGUUAAAGAUUGUGAUUUGGUUUUGCCAUUUUUCGGCAAGACAUUUGGAUCCUUGAAGUUUAGAUCAUGAAUCCUCUCUGGCCUUGGAGAUGAAAUGUUGUUUUGAUGUAUUGUUUGUGUUUCUAUUGCUAUUCCUGUGGUUGUAUUUGGUAGUGGUUGUCUGCUUGUUAGGUUUCGUUUUCAAUUUUCAAUUUUAGUUUCCAGUCCAGAUUCGGGUUAGUCACUUUUGUAUCCAUAUUCUGGCAUCUUUGGGUUGGGUUUUUGUUGUCUUGUUGUCUCUUAAUCGCUAUUCCAUUUCAAUAUAUCAAUGAAACUCUCCUAAUCGCUAUUCCAUUCCACAUGUUAUGAAUCUUACUGAAGAAAAUUAUUCAGUCAUGAAAAUUACUUAUGCUUCUUGUAAAAUUUUCCCUCCAAAUAAUAUCUCAACAAAUAUGUAUUUGAUAACAACUGUUGCUAAUAUAGUGCAUCUUUGACUAACUGAAUCAUGCCUCAUUAUCUUUCUUAAUCAAUGUACUAGGAAUUUUGCAUAAUCUCUGGUCAUGUUUAAACUGCAGUAUUUUUGUGUUUAUUACCUUUUAGUUUCACUUAAUCGAUCUUUCCACACUCUUUGGGGUGUUGCAAAAAGUUAUCAUUCUGUACCUUUGAGUGUGGACCGGAGAAACAUGGACGUGUUUAUGGUUAUUGUUGGGCUUAUUUCAUUUGAAGCCCAGCCCAUUAGGUUAAUUUUAUUUCACAAUGAAAAAGAAAAAGAAGUGACGGCAAGAUAGUUGAACAGAAAGAAAAAUAAAAUCUUUGCGUGGUUCGUAUUUCAGCCUUUUGGAGAUCGAUUUGUGGUUCGAUCAAGCUGAGAUUUUGACUUGUGUAUUCUUGGCACGAGGUUUUUCAUUCUGGACGGUGGAGAUUUUGUUUGAAUCUAUCUACAGUUAGAUUCUAGUUGAUAGUUGGCUACCACAUAUUGUGAGAUUUUUCCUUUUUUCUUUCAUUGUCAUUGUUGUUUGUUGUCAGGAUUGUUAUUCUCGAGAUACUUGUCUCUAGUUGUGACUAGGGAGAACUUUGUUGUAUCCAUUAAAGAUUAUAGUGGAGAUUUUGACUUUGAUCCGUGAUUUUUUACUCCUUACGUUGAGGGGGUUUUUCCACGUUAAAUUUGUUGUGUCCAUAUACUUUGAUUAUUAUUGUUGUUGUUGAGUAGUAUUCUAUCAUGUUCACACAAGAGUGGGAUAAUUGAUCCAAGGUGAAGGUGUUUAUCCCAUCAAAGUGGUAUCAGAGCGUUGGUUAAUUAAUUAGAAUUUAAUUGGAAUUGCCUUGUGUUGAAUAUGGAUACUAGCUCAGCUAAGAUGGUUACCCUUAAUGGGUCAAAUUAUCAAGUAUGGAAAAGAAAAAUGGAAGACAUAUUGUAUGUAAAUAACUUGCACCUUUCUGUUUUUUCUGAUGAGAAGCCUGACGACAAAACUGAUAAAGAAUGGGAAUUAUGUCAUAGGAAAGUGUGUGGGUUUAUGAGGCUAUGGGUAGAAGAUAACUUUCUAAACCAUAUUUGUGAAGAAACUCAUGCGAGAACUAUGUGGAAUAAGCUUGAAUCGCUAUGUGCCUCUAAAACUGGAAAUAAUAAAAUGUUUCUGAUUAAACAUAUGAUGGAGUUAAAGUAUCAAGAUGGAGCGCCUAUGUUAGAUCACUUGAAUACAUUUCAAGGUAUUUUGAAUCAGUUAUCUAGAAUGAAUAUCAAGUUUGAGGAUGAGAUACAUGAGUUAUCGGUGCUUGGUACAUUGCCGGACUCGUGGAAAAUAUUUAGAACUUCCUUAUCGAACUCAGCCCCAAAUGGUGUACUAAGUAUGGACCUAGUAAAAAGUAGUGUGUUGAACGAGGAGAUGAGAAGAAAGUCUCAAAGUUCUUCUUCACAGUCAGAUGUUCUGGUUACUGAAAAGAGGGGGAGGAGUAAAAGUAAGAGUCCAAGAGGUAAUAACAUAAGCAAAAGUAGAAGUGACCGGUUUGCCAAUGUUGAGUGUCACUAUUGCCAUGAAAAGCAUAUAAAGAAGUAUUAUUGAAAAUUGAAAAGAGACAGUAAAAAUCAUAAGGGCAAGGAAAAGAAGAAUGAUGAUGAUAGUGAUGCUGAUACAAUCAUUGUAGCCACUUAAGAUUUUUACAUCUUGUCUGAUGGUGAUGUUGUAAAUCUUGCCACACAACAUAGCAUUUGGGUGAUUGAUAGUGGUGCAUCAGUUCAUGCUACUUUGAAGAGGGAUUUGCAUCCUAUACUCCUGGUGAUUUUGGCAGUGUUAGGAUGGGUAAUGACAGAUCAACAAAUACAGUUGGCAUCGUUGAUGUACACUUGAAGAACAAAAAUGGUUUUAGGCUGAUUUUGAAAAAUGUGAAACAUAUUCCUGAUAUUCGCAUGAACUUGAUUUCCACAUGUAAGCUUGAUGAUGAAGGUUUCUGCAGUACCUUCGACAAUGGCAUAUGGAAGCUUACUAAAGGUUCAAUGGUUAUAGCAAAGGCACAAAAAUUUUCUUCACUGUACUACAUGGAUGCAAAAAUCAUGGAGUCUGAUAUAAAUAUGGUGAAUGAUGAAGCAAAUGUUGAGCUUUGGCAUAAGAGACUUAGCCAUAUAAGUGAGAAGGGUUUAAAGAUUUUAACCAAGAAAAAUCAUCUUCCUAAUUUAAAGAGUACACCUCUAAAACGGUGUCCUCAUUGUUUGGCAGGAAAGUAGACGAGAGUUACCUUUAAAUCAUCUCAAUAUUCAAGGAAGCCAAAAAUACUAGAGUUGGUACAUUCUGAUGUGUGUGGCCCCAUGAAAACAAAGUCUCUUGGGGGUGCUUUGUAUUUUGUGACAUUUACUGAUGAUCAUUCAAGGAAAAUAUGGGUUUACACCUUGAAGACUAAAGAUCAAGUGUUGCAAACUUUUAAACAGUUUCAUGCCGUUGUUGAAAAAGAAACUGGUGAAAAGCUCAAGUGUGUUAGAACUGAUAAUGGAGGUGAGUAUUGUGGACCUUUUGAUGAAUAUUGUAGAAAUCAUGGCAUUCAACAUCAAAAGACACCUCCUAAGACCCCGCAGUUAAAUGGAAUAGCUGAAAGAUUGAACAGAACAUUGGUUGAGAGAGUGAGAUGCUUAUUAUCUGAAUCACAGUUGCCACAGUCAUUUUGGGGUGAAGCUUUAAAUACAAUUGUACAUGUUUUGAAUCUCACACCAUGUGUUCCUUUGGGAUCAAAAGUUCCAAACAGAAUAUGGUUAGGUAAGGAUAUAUCUUACAGUCACCUACGUGUCUUUGGUUGUAAAGCUUUUGUUCAUGUAUCUAAAGAUGAGAGACCAAAGCUUGAUGCAAAAACCAAAGCAUGUGUGUUUCUUGGUUAUAGUCAAGAUGAGUUUGGUUAUAGAUUAUAUGAUCCAACUAAGAAAAAGCUUAUAAGAAGUCGAGAUGUUGUAUUUGUUGAAGACCAAACAAUAGCAAACAUUGAGAAAAUAGGUGAACAAGAGUCUAAGCAUAGUGAUAAUCUGAUUGAAUUGAGUUCAACCUCUUUGACACAGCUUUCUACACAGAUAGAAGAUGAGGUUCAAAAUGAACAGUUUUUUGAUACAGAUGAGAGUUCUGAGCAUGUUGGGACAGAGGAUAAUGUUCAAGAAUAGUUAGCUGAAACAAUUGUUCCUAAAGAUGUUUCGCUCAGGAGAUCUAUCAGAGAUCGACGUCCGUCAACAAGAUAUUCACUUAAUGAAUAUUUGCUAUUGACUGACGGGGGAGAACCUGAGAGUUAUGAAGAGGCUAUAGAGGAUGAGCACAAAAAUUAGUUGAACGAUGCAAUGAAAGAUGAGAUGGAGUCUUUACAUGCAAAAACCACACCUUUGAGCUUGUUAAGUUGCCUAAAGGAAAAACUGCACUGAAAAAUAAGUGGGUUUACAGAAUUAAACAUGAAGAACAUACCUCAAAGCCAUGUUACAAAGCAAGAUUGGUUGUCAAAGGGUUCAGUCAGAAGAAAGGUAUCGACUUUGAUGAAAUUUUUGCUCCAGUUGUCAAGAUGUCCUCCAUACGUGUUGUUUAGGGUUUGGCAGCCAGUCUUGACUUAGAGGUUGAGAAGAUGGAUGUUAAAACUGCUUUUCUUCAUGGGGAUUUAGACAAAGAAAUCUAUAUGGAACAACCAGAGGGUUUUGAGCAGAAAGGAAAAGAGCAUCUGGUGUGUAAAUUGAAGAAAAGUCUCUAUGGAUUGAAACAGGCACCGAGACAGUGGUACAAAAAGUUUGAAUCAGUUAUUGGGGAGCAAGGCUAUAGAAAACCUACUUCUGAUCAUUGUGUUUUUGUCCAAAAAUUUUAUGAUGAUGAUUUUGUUAUAUUAUUACUCUAUGUUGAUGAUAUUUUGAUUGUUGGUAGGAAGUUUUCGAGAAUUGAUAACUUGAAGAAACAGUUGAGCAAAUCCUUUGCCAUGAAGGAGUUGGGGCCAACAAAGAAAGUUCUUCGAAUUCGAAUAGUUCGAGACAGAGCAUCCAAGAAGUUAUACAUGUCACAGGAGCAAUACAUAGAGAAAGUACUUGAACGUUUCAAGAUGAGUCAAGCAAAAUCAGUUAGUUCUCCUUUACCCAUUCACUUCAAACUUAUCAGUAAACAGAGCCCUUCUACAGAUAAAGAGAAGGAGGAUAUGAGUAAGGUCCCGUAUGCUUCAGCAGUUGGAAGCCUAAUGUAUGCCAUGGUAUGUACUAGAUCUAAUAUUGCUCAUGCUGUUGGAGUUGUUAGUCGUUUUAUGUCCAAUCCAGGAAAACAACAUUGGGAGGCAGUCAAGUGCAUCAUGAGAUAUUUGAGAGGUACUUCCAGUUUGAAGCUCACAUUUGGGGAUGGAAAGCCAAUACUUGCUGGGUAUACUGAUUUAGAUAUGGCAAGGGACUUAGACAGCAGAAGGUCUACUUCUGGUUACUUGAUGACAUUUGCAGGUGGUGCAGUGUCCUGACAGUCAAGGUUGCAGAAAUGUGUUGCCCUUUCUACAACUAAAGCAAAGUAUAUUGCAACAGCAGAAGCAUGUAAAGAGAUGUUGUGGAUGAAGCGCUUUGUACAAGAGCUUGGCUUCAAGCAACAACGAUAUGUGAUAUACUGUGACAAUCAGAGUGCUAUUCACCUUGGUAAGAAUGCUUCAUUUCAUUCCAGAACAAAGCAUAUUGAUGUGAGAUAUCACUGGCUUAGAGAUGCUUUAAAUGAUGAAUUGUUUGAGCUUGAGAAGAUACACACUGAUCAUAAUGGAUCUGAUAUGUUGACAAAGAAUCUACCAAUAUCGAAGCUUGAGUUUUGUCGUUCCACGGUGGGAAUGACAAAUUCAUUCUCAAAGUGAAAUAAGGGGAGAUUUGUUGGGCUUAUUUCAUUUGAAGCCCAGCCCAUUAGGUUAAUUUUAUUAUGAAAUUAACUAAUGGACAUAGUGAAAAAGAAAAAGAAGUGACGGCAAGACAGUGGAAUAGAAAGAAAAAAUAAAACCUUUGUGUGGUUCGUAUUUCAACCUUUUGGAGAUCGAUUUGUGGUCCGAUCAAGCUGAAAUUUUGAUCGUGUAUUCUUGGCAUGAGGUUCUUCAUUCUGGACGGUGGAGAUUUUUUUUUGAAGCUAUCUACAGUUAGAUUCUAGUUGAUAGUUGGCUACCACAUAUUGUGGGAUUUUUCCUUUUUUAUUUCAUUGUCAUUGUUGUUUGUUGCCGGGAUUGUUACUUCGAGAUACUUGCCUCUAGUUGUAACUAGGGAGAACUUUGUUGUACCCAUUAAAGAUUAUAGUGGAGAUUUUGACUUCGGUCCGUGGUUUUUUACUCAUCACGUUGAGGGAGGUUUUCCACGUUAAAUUCGUUGUGUCCAUAUACUUUGAUUAUUAUUAUUGUUGUUGUUUAGUAGUAUUCUAUCAGGUUCACACAAGAGUGGGAUAAUUGAUCCAAGGUGAAGGUGUUUAUCCCAUCAAUUAUGGGGUAGAUGUUAUCCCUUCUGAGUUGUUUGGAUCAUCGUCUAAGGUGCACGAUCAUGAACGUCACCUUAAUGAGUCUGAAAAACAUCUUCACGAAUCUGAACGACAAAGAAAAUUUGAAGUACAAACACUCAAAGAUAGAAUUAACGAAUUAGAAAACCGUUUUGAGGAUAGAUUCUAAAAUUAUGAUGGCAAAAAUGCGCAAACAUGUUGCUAGUUGAUCGAGUGUCGUAGUUUAAUGUAAUAGAACAAUUUGAUAUUGUAAUUUUGAUGUCGUUUCACCAUUAGGUAGAUGAAUUAGUAAAAACGUUUGAGAUUUGUAUAAAUGUGUUGAAAGGUUUUGAGAGAGAAUUUUGGAAGGGUUUAUACAUUUGUUGAAAAAACACUUAUGAAAAACCAUUAAAAAAAACAUUUUGAUAAUUAAUAUUUAAUUUAACUAUUAUCAUGUGUGACCUUUGAAAGUAUUAACUUCAAAGGUUAUUAAAUCCGGUGAUAUUUGAAAAUUAUUAACCUUCAAAGGUUAGUAACACGUUUGACGAUUACUAGAGUUACUAAUUUUAAAAUGUUGAUAAACUUUUGAGAAUUAUUAAUUUUUAAAGGUUUGUAAAAGUUUUUUCGAUGGAUCUAUUUCGACACUUAAAGAUUGAAAAUUAAAUAAGGUUGAAAUAUUUAAAAAAAGUGGCAAGCUUAAUGAGAUCUUUCAUUUUGAUACGUGGAUUGGAUAUAUGUAUGAAAAUUAACCUAAAUAAAUAUUUAAUUAAAAAAUAAAUAUUCAACUAAAACAUAGGUGCUUAAUUUAGUUUAAACAAAAUUAAAAAUUCAUGAACAUACACUAUAAUUUUUAAAUUUUAAACAUACUACUAAACAUAAUACUAAAAUUUUAGAAAAUAAAUGAGUAGUUACCUAUAAAGAGUAGAAAAUUUGUUAUUGGUAUGGUAAAUUGAGUUUUACCACGUCUUGAGCCCACUUACCUUAAAAGUUAAAAGACUGUCCUACAAACUUGUAAUAUCUUAAGAUUCGAGGUUGGAUCUGUUCUCCAACCCUACAUAUCCUUGAAAAUAGUUAGUACUCCAAACAAAUCAAAACGAUUCCUCCAGUUAUCCAAACAAAUCAAAACGAUUCCUCCAAUUAUCAUUAUUUGAAUUCAAUCAUUACCGGCAGCUGCUCCAUAUUUAAACUAAUCUAAAACAGAUUCAAUAAUAAACUAUUGAUAUAUAAAACUGACAUUAAAUAGAUUUAAAUCAUUAGAGUUUGACUAAAUGCAUAGCAAAAACCUAAACUAUUUGCCUCCAAAUUUGAUGAUUGUGUUAUAUAAUAUAUUCUGUCCAACAAAUACACAGCCGUUGUUGCCAUUCUCCUUGUUAACACACAAAUCAUAUCUUUUUUUUCCUUUUUUCUUUUAUGUACAUCCAAUCUCACGUCAUUCUUUUAUUAUAAAUAAGAGUGUGUAUUACAAUCACCAUACUACCCUAAUGUAGAGAUGUCUUCAUGUAAGGGGAUGAUUAGACCACUCACUAUGUAAUAAUGACCCCUUAUCCUACCCUGAAUACUCUUUGGUUAUCUUCAGUUAGUUAUUUCAGAACUUUCAUUUACUGCUUUUUAUUUAAUGUUGGCUACCAUUUCUUUUAUCAUUUACCAUUUACCAUUUACCAUUUACCAUUUUCCAUUUUGCUACAUUCUUUGUUAUCUUGUUUUCAAAUUAAAAUAGUUUAUAUCUCAACUCCAUACUAUUAAAAUCUAAACUAUUAUGAGAUUAACUAUUUCCCUUGUUUCAAAUCUCUCUUAUUUUUGUAAUGCAAAUAUAUAUGUUUCUAUCUAAUUAAUACACAUAAAAAUCCGAACCAAACACCAAAUUAACAAAGUCAAACAGAAAAAAGAGAUUGUAUAUAAUACGAAAUACAUAUAUAUAUAUAACAAAGAAAACCAAAUAAAGGUGAAGUGAAACUAAAGUAGAGCAUUGAGAUUAAUUAGAAAAUAUUAGGGUGUCACAUGGGGCUACAACAUUCACAUGGCUGAUGCAUUACAACACAAAUUUGACUGAUCCACAGAAUCCGGACUUUUGUAGAUAUAAAUAUAUUUAUUUAUGAGAAAUCAAAUACCCAAAUCAAAAAGAUCUCCAAAGUGAUGAAAAUUAUGAGGAAGCAAGGGAGAACAACGAUCAGAUUGGGAGGUUGGAGAGGAGAAAAUAAGCAACAGCCAAAUAUGUGGAAGGUUUUAUGGAGGAAAUUAAGAAGAGAAAAGAGGAAGAUUUUAGAGUCGUCUAAUACAACCACGUUUUAUUCGUCAGGCCCCAAGUUGAUUCCUUAUGAUCCCUUCUCUUAUUCUCAGAAUUUCGAUCAAGGCACCGCCGGAGAAGAACUUGACAAUCUUUCCCGAUCCUUCUCCGCCCGCUUUGCUCUAGCCGAUGUCGCUUCCGCAACCUUUCUUCACAAACAACAUCUUCCAUAAGUUUUACCCUUUUUUCUCCUUAGUAACUCUAUUUCUAAUCCUUGUAUACUACGGAAUCAACCCGAUUGAUAUAGUUUCAAUGUGCUGUCUUCUCCACCUCUUUUACUUAUAUUCCUUGACUAGUUCUGAGUAUAAUUACUUCAAAUUUACAUGGAAUAGAUUAACUUUAGGAUCAUUUAUGUCAAAUUGUAAAAGAUAAAGUACUAAAUAUGACAAUAUUACUAUAGAUUAUUGACAAUGGCUAUAAGAUACCUAUUGUUUUCCUCAACCAAAAUUUUAAAAAUUGAAGAGACUAUAGUCCUAAGUUCUCUUUUAUUACCUUUAUCGACAUGGGUAUGUCUUGAUGUACAAUCUUCAUGCCAAAUCUACUCAAAAUUUUUAAUGUACUAAAUAUGUCUUGACUCUAUUAGGCUACAUCGUGGGAAAAAUUCAUACAUGAGUCAUAAAUUUCUUGCCAAGACAUCAUCGUACAUGAGAUAAAAAAAAAAGAUUUUCGAUUGUAAGUUAUAACUCGUAGAAAUACAAGUUAUUAUGGCAUUUUAGAUAGAAUAAUAAUGAGAUUGAAAUGCAUGAUAAUUGUGUCAAAACGCGUAACUUAUGUUGUAAAUAAAUUAAUAUUUAGAAAUACACUUUACAUAAGCUUCAUGCCUACUUUAUCCCGUUUUUAGUGUCUAAACGCUAGAUUAGGAAUUCGAACAGAAAUAAGGCGAGAAGACCAAAUCAUAGCGCAAGAAGUUGCUAGAAGACAAAAGUAGUAGUUGGAUUGAUGUGACUUGAUGAAAAGGAAGCUUUCGACACAAAGCUGGUCAGAAUGUGUAUACAAACGUAAAAGACAAAUAUUAUAGUUUCUAAAAUAAUAUUAAUUUUAUUGAUUUGUUGGCAUGAGAAAAAAAUAUUUAUCUACACGGACCCAAUGUUGGUUUAUAAAAAAAAUAGACAAUAAUGCAACAAUUAAAUAAAAGAAAUUGUAAAAAUGGACCAUAAAAGAAGGCUUUAAUGUCGGUUUUAAACCAAAAACAAAACUCAGCUGACAUUAAAGAGCUUCAAUAACGGUACCAAAAAUGUUAGUUGAAAACCGACUUUAAAGGCCAAAGUCGGUUUCUAAUGCAUGUUCACCAAUCAACCACACCAUUGAUGAUUACCAUUGCUACACUUCAAGAACCAACUUCGACAACCACUUUCACACAUUCAAGUCUGCUAGCCACCUCCGACGACCAACUAUAAUGACCACAUUUGCGUGACAAAUUUUACGACCAAUUUUGGACUUCGAUAACCACCUCCAAUAACAAACUUUCUGAUGAAAAUCAACUCCGACAAGCACCUUCAUGUGAUAAAUUCUAAGUUCCAACAAUAAAAUCUUGUGACUAACUCCAAGAUCACUUUAGUGCAACUGACUUAUAACGAUCCAACUUUUCUAUCUAAAUUGAGGUCAUUGCUCAAAGACACUUCUUUUAAACAUAAGAGUUUAUAAAAUCUGUUAAAAUAAAUAAACAUCGAAGAAUUUUAUUCGGGCCCUAUUUCAAACAAAACUUAAGGUUCAAAAGUAUAGUUUAUAAAAUUAAGAAAUAAAUAGUCGUUCUAAACAUGAAACCCAUUUCAGUCAUAAAUACUAAAGUAAAACAAAUAAAAGACUGUAAGCGGAAGCAAUUUUGAAGAAAAUCCCCCUAUGACAGUCACGUCUCCUUCUGGUCCCUCGUCGGUCUGCCUCUUGUAUUACAUUUGCCUGAAAAAUUAGACAUGAAAGGGUGAGUAUAAAUAUAGUCAGUAAAAGACCCACUACUGGUCCUGCUAAGAGUAAAAUUAUUAGCUUACUAUUGUGAGGUACCCUACAUCAUAAUAGUCUUGUGAUCCCGUAGGAUGCACAUAUCAAUCUAAUGCUCCUAAAGGAUGCACAUAUCUAGUACUCCGGAAGGAUGCACUUAUAAGUCUAGCACUCCCGAAUGAUGCACCUAUCAGUCUAGUGCUUCUAAAGGAUGGACCUAUCAGUCUAAUGCUCCUAAAGGAUGCAUCGAUCAGUUUAGUGCUCCUAAAGGAUGCACCUAUCAGUCUUGUGCUCCUAAAGGAUGCACCUAUCAGUCUUGUGCUCCAAAAAAUGCACAUAUCAGUCUUGUGCUCCAAAAGAUGCACCUAUCAGUCUUGUGCUCCAAAAGAUGCACAACGGGUGGUGAUCCCAUGGGACAUCUGCAAGGCACACUACCCUAUAGAUAAAGCUAACAUUUCCCCCUCAGUCCAUCCUAACAUUUAGAACGGUCGAAUCAAUUUACAAUAUAAACUACCAUCAUGUCAUUCUUUCAGUUCAACACAUAUACAGUCAAAUUAUCCAAUCCAGUAUGUAAUCAAACAUUAUCAAAACGGUUUCUCAAACAAUUAAACUUAUAUAUAAGCGUCGCUCACUUCAUUUCAGUCAAUUCAAUCUAGUUCAGUCAAUUCAACGUACAGUACACUACCUAUGCAUUAACGUAACAAUUAAUAACCCACAAUUUAAUCAAUUCAAUGUCCUCAGUUCAGUCAUCAUGACUAAUUUUAUGAUAUCAGUGAGUUCACUGGAAUCCAUACCGUCAAUACAUCUCAAUUUCAUUAUUGAGUCCAGUAGUAGGAACUCUUACUUUGAGUUCUUGAUCGAACUGAAUUCAACAAAACAAACCUAGACACCAAGAUAAGAACUCAACAUUUUCUCCAACAAUAACGUCCACUUAAAAUCAACCCGGCCAACAUGAAAUUCACAACUUACCCAAGUUGAAUGAAGCAUAAACUUCCAAUGAAGCUUGAUGUGAAACUCAAGAAUUUACGCACAACCUCUCCAAAAAUCACCUUCAAAUUAAACAACACCCAAUCAAUUAAUCCAGCCUUAAUGCUUAUGGUAGUUAAGAAACAACAUUAAAAAACCCAUAAUUUCUUAUUAUCAAUAAACUUACAACAAGACAGCGCAGCGCGGAUAGAUGGAAUCGGUGUGUGCAAAAUAGAUAUGAACGAAAAUGGAUGUGGACGUCGAUCUCGCAGCUAGAAAGCGGAGAGUCGUGCAGCGACGCUUUACGGACGACGACAGAACGCGUGCUCAACUCCGACACCAACGAUGCAGAGCUGCAACUGGGCUUCAAUGGAUGGAACCAAAUCAGCUAGUGUUAGGCGGCGACGGACGGAGACAGGCGCGAACAAAGGACGCGGCGGCUGGGUUUCGACUUCAAUGAAAAGCAAAGGCGGGACACGAGCGACACGUGAUGCAGGCGGCUCGGGACACGAUGCUUGAGUUGUCGAUGUCUGCAAGUGAAUGGAAAAAGAAGAAGGGAGAAAAUGAAGGUGGCCGGCGGUGGGGUUGGAAUGUGGGUGGUGGGUAGGGCAUGAGGAAGAAGAAGAAUGGCGAGGAAGAAGAAAUGCACGAGAAUAGAGAAGAAGAAAGAAAAUUUUAAAUAAUAAGAAUAUAAAUAUAAUAAUAAUAUUAAAUUAUUAUUACUUUAUUUUUUAUUUUUUUUUACUUCUUUUCUUUUCCAUCAAAUCUAUUUCUCUUCCACACAAAGGUAGGUAACGUAUAAUAAACCCAAAACUUAAAAUCUUUAAUAUAUAAGAUAAUUUGAUUAAGAAUAAAUACCUCAAAAUUUUGGGGUGUUACAUGACUUCUUCCUCCAACAAGCACCAUUGGCUACAACCUUCGAAAAAUAUCACCUUUGAUAAUCAACUUCAACAACCACCUUCAACUUUGGGCUCCAACAACACUACCUAUACUAUAAACUUCAACGAAAAUCAUCUUUGAUAAUCAACUUCAAUAAAAAGUGACAACCACAUUUAACAAUCAAUACCAAUAUUCACCUUAGGCAACCAAGAACUACAAAGACCACUUCUAAUGAUUAAUUUCAAUAACAAUCACAUUUGAUGGCCAACUUCAACGGUCGUCUUGAGUAACUGACUCCAACCACGAAUUUUGUUGUUUAUUUUCAGCGACUAACUCAACCCCAAUAAAUAUACUGCUAAGAUAUUUUGUCAAAUAUUUUAUAAUAUUUAUUAAAACAAAAAUUCUUUUUAUAAAGCUACCAAGGUUUCCUACUAUUUAGGAAUCUUGGUGUGAGUUUAUUUCCUUCUUAUAUGGAAGAAGGUAUCUGCAUAAAAUAUUCUAGGAAUAUAUAUAUAUAUAUAUAUAUUAUAUAUAUAUAUAUAUAUAUAUAUAUAUAUAUAUAUAUAUAUAUAUAUAUAUAUAUAUAUGCGAAGAUCGGUGGUUGUUAGAUGAAAAAGAAAUUCGAUUCUGAAAAGAAAGAUACGAACUCGUCUGAUCAAGUUGUUCAAGGUGAAGGUUUAAUGAAUAUGUCAUAUUGAUCUUGUUGCAGACUAUGAUGUUGAUAUGUGAAUUAUGAGAAGAUAAGAAAUAUAUUUAUGUGAAGACCAUUGGAUCGAGGGAUCAAUUCACGAAACCAGGGAGAGCCUAGACUAGUCUUAGAAGAGAUUCCUUGUACCUUCAACGGGAGUCUGAGUUUACUUUUAAUUAUGAUUAUGACUAUUUAAUGUAACUAGUGAGAUAAGUUACAUAUGAUGAAUCUCAAUAAGCUUUCUUAUCUGAGCAAAGAAGCUCCCCAUAUGUAGACCGUAUUUGCCCAACUGGGUUACCAAAGUGCACUGUGUUAUUUAUUGUCUAUGUGAUUUAGUUAUUCAUAUAGUUAAAUAUUCGUGAUACAACUAAAGGGUAUUUAACUUACUCACUUUUCAAUUGGUAUGAGAGUGGGUUCGAUAUAAAUGGAAACGCCAAGAGAAGUUGUUGUUGCUACAAGACCACCCUAUUAGAUGGAAAAAACUACUCUUAUUGGACGACUCGCAUGACGUCAUACCUAAAGUCUCUGGAUGCAAAGGCCUGGAAAGCAGUUAAAAUUGGAUGGAAACCACCUAUGAUUAUUGUUGAUGGUAAGUCUGUUCCAAAACAAGAGAAAGACUGGACUGAUGCAGAGGAGUAGGAAUCCAUGGGAAAUUCUCGAGCUCUCAAUUUCAUAUAUAAUGGAGUGGACCUGAACAUGUUCAAAUUAAUCAACUUCUGUGUUACAGCAAAAGACACAUGGAAAAAACUCGAAGUAGGAUUUGAGGGAACAUCUAAUGUAAAGACCUCUCAAUGGAAGAAGAAACCAUAACUGAAUACAAUGUAUGGGUUCUGGAAAUUGCCAAUGAUCCUUUUAAUCUUGGUGAAGGAAUUCCAGAAGCAAAGCUGGUUAGGAAAGUCUUACGAUCUCUUUCCAAAAGAUUUGAUAUGAAAGUUAUUGCUAUUGAAGAAACACAUGAUGUCACUACUCUCUCUCUAGAUGAAUUGUUUGGUUCCUGACUCACAUUUGAAAUCUCCUUAGCAGAUAGAGUAGAAAGUAAAGGCAAAGGUGUUGCGUUCCAAUCAAUUCAUGAAGAUGAAUCCCUUGAGAAAGGAAAAGCGCCCUAUGAUCAAGUAAAUAAGUCAAUUGCCAUGCUAACAAAGCAGUUUUCCAACGUGAUCAAGAAAAUCAACAAUUCCAACAAUUAUGGAUCGAAUAAUCGAUUUCAAAAUAAUUUUAGAAGAAGAGAAUUUGAUAGACCAAAUGCCAGAGAAUCAGAUCGGUCAAAUAUCAGGGAAUCAGAUCGACCAAAUACCAGAGACAGUAGAACUUUCAAAUGCAGGGAAUGUGAAGGUCAUGGUCAUUAUCAAGCUGAAUGCCCAAUCUAUUGGAGAAAACAAAAGAAAAGUUUUGGGGCUACUUUAUCUGAUGAAAUAGCUGAAGAGGAAGAGUUUGUAAAUGCUUUAUCAGUAUUGCCUCAAAUGGUGAAGAAGAAUCGAACUAUCAGUCUGAUGGGGAUUUAAAUUGUUAGACAGAUAAUAACCUAUCUUAUAGUAAAAUGUUAUUACAAUUAUGGAAAGAAGAUACGACAGCCCGAGCCAUUCAGAAAGAAAAUAUUCAAGGCUUAAUGGAAGAGAGUCAAAGACUUCUAAUGUUCAUUUCCUGUCUGAAACUCAAAUUGAAAGAAGUUCAAAUGAAACAUGAGCAACUAGAGAAAUCUGUAAAGAUGUUGAAUUCAAGCACUGGAUGUCUGGAUCAAAUGUUGUCCAUGGGAAGAACUCGAUCGUCUAAGCGAGGUUUUGGCUAUAAUGAGGAUUUAAAUCUGGAUAAACGAGAAGUAAAAUUGUAUUCGUGCCAACUCGUGAUAAUGAUGCAAGAGGAAAUUUGAGUCCUUAAAAACAUGGUAAAAACCCAUUUGCAGCACAUAUAUGGGUAUGCCACUUCUGCAGAAAAAGAUGACAUAUUAAACCAUUCUGUUACAAAAUGAAAGAUAAACACAGUUAUAAAUGGAGAUUGACGUCAUAUUUGAGAAUUGGGCAGCUCACACAAAAGCAUUGUCAUGAAAGUUGAUAGAACUAAGACAUGCACAACGGAAAUAGAAUCAAAAUUUUACCUUAAUUGCCCCUUAAUUAACAUGUAACCCUAAACUAAACAAUUUAGGGUUUUAGGAAAUCUUACAUUUGAAGCUUUCGAAAAUCUUCGAUAUCUCCUUACCAAUUCAAAUCGAGACCACCACUAGUAGUCACCUACUAUCAUAUGGACAAAGAAUUGGGUUGUGGGAUCCAAUUUGGUGUAGAAAAUAAAGGAGAUAAAAGGAAAUUGGAAGGUAGAAGUUUCUUUCGUUGUGAUUUUGAAGUGUAAUAAAAUACUAAUUUCUAAAAGUUUUUUUAACCAUUUGAAAACACCCAUAUUUAUAACCUAAUUACAUACAAAAAUGCAUGUAAUUAAUUUGUCAAAUCUCAACACCUAAUAUUCCACUAACAAUUAGUGAAACUUAGUGGGCUAGGUGUCUACAUCUCAUGUAGCCACAUAUCCCACUAAGUGUAAGUGGGAUUAUCCAACAAAAUGUUGGAUUUUUCCACUAACUUAGUCCAAGGGUAAAAUGGUCAUGACCUUUCAUGUCAAAAGUCAAUAUUUUGACUUGUUUCAAUUUUGUCCGUCUUGAGUAAUUCCAACCUUCCAAGCAUGAAUCUGCAUUCAUUUUUCAAAAAUUCAAAUCACAUUUGAAUAUAAGGCCGGUCAAAGUUUGACAUUUUAAAGUCAAGAGUCAACAUUUUGACUUUUUACAACUUUGAUCAUUUUCAUCAAUUCCGAGCUUUUGUAUUCAUAUUUAUAGUAUUUAAAUCUUAUUUAAACAUAAAGCCCUAUUUCUAAUCAGAAGAUCGAUAACUAUAUCACUAUAUUUGUCGAUUUCUCUUUCUUCUCCCAAUUCGAACAAUUCAACUUAUUCCAUCAUACUAUUCUAAGUUUAUUCCAUAUGAGCUAACAGAGGAACCUAAUGGACCUAUAAAUCAUGGGCUCCAACAAUUUAUGAUUAACUAGUUAAACUCUUUUAGACCGAGUUAAUCAACAUUCGUUAACUAACGGGUCAUUCCACUAAAGUCUCGUAGUUGCACUCCCCUCACUAUAGAUAUAUUUGUGUCCAUUUGAUAAAACCAUAAUCAGUAAGUUAAUCUUUCACAGGUUGUUCAUAACUUUGGUUAGGUCAAAAUACCGUUUUACCCCCAAUACUAGAUCUUGCUCAUUAAGUUCCACUAAUCUACUAUUGAACAAUUGGUUUAAAGUUCAACCUAUAAACUUAAUCGCUCUCGGGCCAAUGAGAGGGUGGGGCCCCUUGUUCAAGACUUGGAUUCAGUGCUUAAGAGAACAACCUAUCUACUAACCCUAAAGUGGGUAAGAGUGAAUUCCGUCUUACACCCUAUGUCCCUCGCUAUCCACCCGAUCUUCCCUCUGAAAUGGGAGGCUUAUUGGUCUAAUGCUGAUAAGUUGCCCUCACCUAUGCAGAUCUAAGGAUUAUCUCGUAUGAAUAGGAGUUCAUAGUUAGCUUAGGAUUAAGAUUAAGUUACCUAGGUCAUCAAUAAUCGAGAUAGUCAGCUUUAAACAGUAAACGAUGUUAUAACAUAAAAGUGACUAAUUCAUGGUUCAGUCUUAUGUAAACACUUUACAUAGGAUGCCCCCACUUUCAUGUCUCUACAUGAACGAUUCAGGAUCACAUGGUUUGUACUUAGUACAAAGCGGGCAACAUCCAUAGUUUCUCUAAAUAAGGCGCCCAACCAUUAUUCAUAUACUAUAGACUAUUUGAGCUAUAUACUCGAACUUGAUCCACGUUUAUGUUUACACAUAAAGUUCAAGUUUACUCAAAAAUGGUAUCAGGACUUGGUUUAUUGGAUUUAAGAUUAUAAUAUUCAAUAUCUCAAUAACGACUUUAUUGAACAGAGUAUGAUUACAAACUACGAGUUUUAGGACAAAAAUUCCAACAAAAGUCAAAGUUCGAGUUUUAGGUCACAAAUAUUAAAAAGGUUUGAAAAAUUAAGCAACACUCAGAGAAGGGAAAUAUAGACUUCACGUCCAUUCAAGUGUCUCGAGAGGAUUGGUAUUUUACAGCGAAUGCUCAAGGAAUAUGACUGGAAAUUGUUCCUACUUUUCUAACUCAAUUGAAUGCUCCUCAGGAUAUGUGACAUUUGGUGAUGGUGCCAAAGGAAGAAUUCUAGCAAAAGGAGAUAUCAUAGGACAACACCUUCCUAGACUGAAUAAUGUUCGAUAUGUUGAAGGCCUCACUACAAACCUUAUGAGCAUCAGUCAAUUAUGUGAUCAAGGGUAUAAUGUAAACUUUUGCAAAGAAAACUGCAUAGUAACCGAUGAGUACAAUGUUGAGAUUAUGCGAGGAAUUCGGCAGACUGAUAAUUUUAAUAAUUGGAGCUCAAAUCAAACGGAUUCUUGUAAUAUUUCAAGAGAAGAUCUAACUCAAUAGUGGCAUAAAAAGCUAGGUCACAUCAGUCUUGGUACGUUAGAAAAAGCUUUUAAACAUGAUGCAAUUAUGAGGCUUCCAACACUGGAUGUAAAAUGCCAAUUUUUUUUGUGGAGACUGCCAAUGGGGAAAAUAAAUCUGAACUACCCAUAAAAAGGUUAGUGAGUGUUAUACUAACAGAGUUCUUAAACUUCUGCAUAUGCAUCUCAUGGGUCUAAUGCAAACUAAAAGCUUUGGGAAGAAAAGAUAUGUGUUCGUUUGUGUGGAUGACUACUCCCGCUUCACAUGGGUCAAAUUCUUGAAGAACAAGUAUGAAACAACUAAAAUGUGUAUAAAUUUAUGUCGCAAUCUACAACGAGAACAAGGGCUAAACAUAAUAAGAUUACGAAGCGAUCAUGGAAAAGAAUUCGAAAAUGAAGAACUUGAUUUGUUCUGUGAAAGUGAAGGGAUCACUCAUGAAUAUUUAGCUUCUUUAACUCCACAACAAAAUGGAGUUAUUGAAAGAAAGAAUCAUACUCUACAAGAGAUGGCCAAAGUAAUGCUUCAUGCCAAGGAUUUGUCAUUACGAUUAUGGGCUGAAGCUAUGCAUAUUGCAUGUCACAUUCAUCAUCGAGUGACAAUUCGUAUUGGAGCCACUGUGACGUUGUGUGAAUUAUGGAAAGGUAAGAAACCUAUUAUAAAUAUUUUCACAUCUUUGGCAGUAUUUGUUACAUUCUUGCAGAUAGAGAAUAUCAUAGAAAAUUGGAUGCCAAGUCUGAUAGAGGGAUUUUUCUGAGUUACUCACCAAGUAGUCAAGCUUACAGAGUAUACAACACGAAGACUCAAUCAGUAAUGGAGUCUAUCAAUAUUGUUGUGAAUGAUGAUGAGAAGAUCUCCCUCAAAGAUCAAGAUGAUGAAGAUGUGUACUAAUACAAAACACUAAACUACUGACUAGUAUGCUACCACAUGUAGAUAUUGUUUCACAUGCUCUGCUUGAUGUUCCCGACGAGUUAAACAACUCUGAGUCCACUCAUGAAACAAUUGUGCCACAAUUAGGUCCUCCAUCUCAUGUGACUAAGAAUCAUCCACCAAGUUAUAUCAUUGGUGAUGUACAGAGCGGAGUCACAACCAGAAAGAAAGAUCGCAUUGAUUAUGCAAAGUUAAUUGCUAAUGUGUGUUAUACUUCAUCCAUUGAACUGUGAUCAAUUACAAAAGCUCUCCAUGAUGAGUUAUGGAUUAGUGCUAUGCAAAAAGAACUUCUUCAAUUCCAAUGUAAUAAUGUCUGGACGCUGGUACCCAAACCAGAAAAUAUUAAUAUUAUCGGGACAAAGUGAAUUUUUAAAAAUAAGACAGAUGAACAAGGAUUCGACACUCGCAACAAAGCACAACUAGUUGCACAAUGGUACACUCAGAUUGAAGGAGGAGAUUUUGAUGAAACCUUCAUUCAUGUUGCCCGACUUGAAGCUAUACGCUUGUAACUUAGCAUUGGGUGCAUACAAAAGAUUAAAUUGUAUCAGAUGGAUGUCAAAAGUGCAUUCUUAAAUGGGUAUUUGAAUGAAGAGGUAUAUGUUGCUCAACCCAAAAGCUUCAUUGAUCCAAUAUUUCCAGAACGUGUACAAAUUAGAUAAAGCUAUGUAUGGUCUCAAGUAGGCUCCUUGAGCCUAGUAUGAAAGACUUACUAAUUAUUUAUAGAGACAGGGAUAUGUUCGAGGAGGAUCAGACAGAACCUUGUUUAUAAAAUGGAAGGGAAAGAACAUCAUUGUUGCUUAGAUAUAUGUAGAUGAUAUUAUUUUUGACGGAUUUCUUGAUGACAAUGUGAAUAGUUUUAUUACUGUUAUAAAAUCUGAAUUUGAGAUGUGCAUGGUCAGUGAAUUAUCAUUCUUUCUUGGGUUGCAAAUCAAGCAAGACCAGAGUGGUAUCUUUAUCUCUCAAGCGAAGUAUGCUAAAAAUAUGAUUAAGAAGUUUGGACUUGAGACUUCUCAAUCCAAAAAUACACCAGCUGCUACACAUGUCAAACUCACUAAAGUUUGUACAUCUGAAGCUGUAGAUAUUAAAUUAUACAAGAGUAUGAUUGGAAGUUUGUUGUAUCUACAACUAGUUGUCCCGAUAUUUCUUAUUCCAUGGGAGUUUGCGCUCGGUUUCAAUAUGAUCUUUGUAACCCACAUCUUCAAGUUGCUAAACAGAUUCUCAAAUACAUUCAUGGAACUCAUGAUUACGACAUUUAUUACUCAUUUGAUACCAACUCGUCUCUUGUAGGCUAUUAUGAUGCUGAUUGGGCUGGUUGUUUUGAUGUUAAGAAGUCUACGUCUGAAGGUUGUUUUUUCUUGGGCAACAAUCUGAUUUCAUGGUUCAAUAAGAAGCAAAACUUUGUCUCCCUAUCCACUGUUGAGGCUGAAUACAUUGCGGCUGGUAGUGCAUGUUCUUAGCUUAUCUAGAUGAAACAAAUGAUUGGAGAGUAUGGUUUGUCUCAAGAGACAAUGAUUCUUUAUCGUGAUAACAUGAAUGCCAUUGAUAUUUCAAAGAAUCUUGGACAUCAUAGUCGGACCAAACAUAUUGAUAUUCGUCAUCAUUUUAUUCGUGAUCUUGUUGAAGAUAGAAUUAUUUCACUCACUCAUGUUCGAUAUGCUCUCCAGUUGGCCGAUAUCUUCACCAAGCCUCUUGAUACAACCUCGUUUGAACAUUUACGAGUUGAAUUGGGUGUAUGUUGAUAGUUGGCUUGGCAAUUUGUUAUUGUCUUAUUGUUUUUGGGCUUCUUGUAUGUGUAUCCAAGCCCAUUUGAGUUUAACCCAUUUGUAUUUAGCUUGCAGUCGUUUAUUUGGUUCAAGUUGAGAGUUCGACAGAAACAAGUUAUUUUGGAAGAAGUUCUAACGUGUCAAGAAAUCGACUUCUUCUUCUUGUUGGCUUCUUGAUCAAAAUGGUGAGUAUGCAUCACAGUUACUAUCAAGAACACUCUGUCAAUCCUCGUGAUUCUGCUGUUCGUUCCAACAUACACCCGGUCUGAAUGCGUGGUAAGCGGGUUAAGAUUGUUCCUUCACGCCGUCCGUAUGUUCGCCUUGCUGAUCGAGGUAAAAUUUCUCAAACUAUUUUUUAUGAUAGCUCUACAUCUAUUUCUGUUGAGAAGUUUGGUGUGUCUCUUGUGGCUUCUGUUUCAACUUCUGGGUCUGAUUCACAAGAUGGCAUAUCGUUGGUCGAGUUAUUGCGCUCUUGUCUUGGUACCAAUCCUUCGUUUUUUGUAGGUAAUAACAAAGUACCAGUUCCUUCAUUUUUGAAAGGAAAAGGGCCUGUGACUUCGAGCAGCCUCAGAGUUUAUCUGACUCUUCUAGUAGUUCAUCAGAUCCUUUGCCCCAACAGCAUCCCUGGACCCCUCAUUCUGGGCACAUUUCGACUAUUUGUCCAUCUCAUGAUAUUCCAACUGGGCCCACUGCUCCUUCCCCAUCCAUGGGUCGUGAAUCUGUCCUUCCUCCCACUACAGCUCGGACAUCUAAUCCUCUAUCUCCACCUCAGUCCACGACUUCACCCAAGCCCCAGGGUGUCACCAUCAAAACUGGUAGACGUCGACUUCCACACAAUAUUCCUUCUGUUCCCAUUGAUAGCAUAUCUUUUCAUCAUGAAGAGAAUGCUCAGAGGUGGAAGUAUGUUGUACAACGACAUUUGGCCGAUGAAUUGAAUGUCUCUGAUAAGCAUCAGUCCUGUGUGACCAUUAUAGACUUGAUUAGUCAAGUUUGGUCUAUCUCGUACCAUCCUGAAUGUUAGGUCGUUCUAUCCAAGACUCAUUUGGGAAGUUAUUGCCAAUCUGCCAUCUAACUUUGAUGACCCUAGUAGCACUAAUUAUUAGACAAUUCAUGUAAGUGGUCGUCGAGUUUUGAUAUCUCCUUUAGUGAUUAAUGUGUUUCUUGGGUUGUCAACAUCUUUGGAUAUUGCUCUUACCAACCUUUCAACUGUAGUUUUGGCUUUUCUGUUGACUGGUGGCUCCCUUACUGUUUGGCCCCUGACGGGUAUUCCUAUUGCCUCCUUGAGUGUUAACUGUGCGAUUCUUCACAAGAUUGGCAUUGCAAACUGGUUUCCUUCUUCUCAUGCCUCCAAUGUAUCUGUUGCGCUUUCUAAGUUCUUGUUUUGGAUUGGUACAGGCUCUACUGUUGAUGCUAGUUUGUUUAUUUACAAUCAACUUUUACGUCAUGUUGGUACCUUUGGUGUCAAGAUUCUGAUUGCUCUACCUCACUUCUUCUCUAGUUUGAUUAUCCAUUUGCAUCUUGAUAUUUUAAGGGACUUUGAUGCCCCUGGCCCCCGCCCCCGCAUGUUAUCACUGAGUUAUAGACUGUUUCAAGGCUCUCAUGUCCCGAUAUUGAGCACAUAGUUCAUCCCAACCGCUCUGCCAAUCCCUUUGUGUCUGAUGACGUUUCUGCUUCCUCUGUUGGUGCUAAAAUGGUUGUUGGUGACAUUUCCCGCAUUUUAAAUUCUCUAUUUGGUGAAUCUUGGGCAUUGAGCACUUCUAUUUCAUUACUGAGAAGGGUGGAAAUUGAUGCUCUCAUUCGCUAUCUAAAAAUGUUUCUAUCUUCAUCUGAAAAUGUUCCUCCUCCGUCUCCUUAGAUACUUUCUUUGCUCAAAGGAGGAGAGAAGUGUGGGGUGUGUUGUUGUUUUGGGUAUUGUGCUACUGUUUUUGCUUGAUAGUAUAAACGUGUACUGUGAAAUUUUGGGUGAAUUUUCGAACAAAUAUAAUGGUUGGCUUCUUUCUUUUUGUAGUCUAUGAUUUGUUAUUGAAAAUGAAUGAAUGGGUGAACUCCUACAGUGUGUGUGGCUUCUGGCUUGUCUUGAUGUUUGGCUUCAGUCGUGGCUAAUGACUUGGUUAGUUUAUGUCUAUAUUAUGUUAUGUAUAUCCUGGGAUGUACAGUUAUAUCAGUUGCUCAUCUAUGUUGUUGUGACUCUAAUUGAUCAUAAAAAAUAAUUUGGACAUAUUUGACAAAAAGGGAGAAUUUGUUAAGAUAUUUUGUCAAAUAUUUUAUAAUAUUCAUUAAAACAAAACUUCUUUUUAUAAAGCUACCAAGGUUUCCUACUAUUUAGGAAUCUUGGUGUAGGAGUUUGUUUCCUUCUUAUAUGGAAGAAGGUAUCUGUAUAAAAUAUUUUGGGAUUAUAUAUAUAUAUGCAAAGAUUGGUGGUUGUUAAAGGAAAAAGAAAUCCAAUUCUGUUAAGAAAUAUACGAACUCGUUGUUAAAGGAAAAAGAAAUCCAAUUCUGGAAAGAAAUAUACGAACUCGUCUGAUUAAGCUGUUCAAGGUGAAGGUUUAAUGAAUAUGUCAUACUGGUCUUGACAUUGCAGACUAUGUUGUUGAUAUGUGAAUUAUGAGAAGAUAAGAAAUAUAUGUAUGCAAAGACCAUUGAAUUGAGGAAUCAAUUCACGAAGUCAGAGGGAGCUCAGAAUAGUCUUAGAAGAGAUUCCUAGUACCUUCAAGGGGAGCUUGAGUUUACUAUUAAUUAUGAUUAUGACUAUUUAAUGUAACUAGUGAGAUAAGUUACAUAUGAUGAAUCUCAAUAAUAUUUAUUAUCUAAGCAAAGAAGCUCUUGUAGGCCGUAUUUGUCCAACUGAGUUACCAAAGUGCACUGUGUUAUUUAUUGUGUGUACUUUAGUUAUUCAUAUAGUUAAAUAAUUGUGAUAUAGCUAAAGAGUAUUUAACUUGCUCACUUUUCAUAUACUACAAAAAGAAAAGAAAUCUUGGCUGAAAAAAGUGCUUUUAAUACCAAAUUAAAAUGAAAUUGAAAUUAUUAGUUUAUAAUCAUUAAUAAUCAUCUUUUAUAGUUUGAUAUUGAGAAGUUUUUUAAUGAUGGGCAUGUCAUCUUUAUACCCUUAUUUGUCUCAAGCAUCCAGCAGAUCAAUUACUUCUUAACAACAUCACCUCAACGGAUGAAGACGUCUGAAGGUUAUUAUAUAUUGAAUAAUGUUAUAGAAAAACCAUAUAUAAUGCAUUUUGAUGAAGUCAAUAAGCCAUUUUCUUUUUCUUUCUUUCUCUGUUUUUUAGUAAACUGACUUUGCCCUCUGUCGUCCACUUAAUACUAUAUUUUCUAAUAACGUUUUUAAUCUCUUUUUCUCUUCUUCCUUUUGGAAAAAUGGCAUUUUUAAUCUUUAUUACUAUUGGAAGAAAAGAAAAAAAACCAAUGAUCAUAUUUUAAUUUAAUUUAGAACUAGCUUAGAAUGAUUAAGACCUUUUGCUUAUUAUUAUUAUUUAGAAAAGUAUAGUAGUAGAAUAUUAGAAGUAUAUAAAAGUAGAAGAAUAACACUAUUAUUUAGAAAAUUGAUUACACAAGUAGGCCUUGUUCUUCAACCAUUGAAUUAGUCCAAGUUGAUAGGCAAGCCCAAUAAUGGAAAAGUUUCCAUUCAACGUAUACUUAUUAAACUUUGUUUUUUAUUUUCAGUUUUUAUGCAUGUUGUCAAUCUAAUACAAUAAACUAGAGCUAAUUAUGAAAUCCAAAUUAUCAAUCUACCCUAAGUUUUAAAUUGUUAUAGUAAUAAUAUUAGUAAGAGUUUAUUUUCAUAUAUAUUAUAAAAUGAACCAAAAAUAAUGAUAUAUAUAUAUAGUAAAAUGUCAUUCAUACACGGAUAGACAAUGCUAUUCAUAAAUUUAUUCACACCCAUAAAUUACUAUAAUCUAUCAUCUAUAGAAAAACUAAUAUUAAAUGAAUACAAAAAAACAUUUUGAACAUUUAGCAAUUUAUUACUCUACCAAAAAAAAA
rnacentral:lncRNA from 1 species